rnacentral:lncRNA from 1 species
UAUUAAAUGGGAUGGAUGCUCAGAAAAAUUUUCCCAUCGGGGUUUUAAAUGAAAAGGAAGCCUGGGACCUGUUCAAGAAGAUGGCUGGCAACUGUGAUGAAAGUUGCGAUUUGAAGCCUAUAGCUAUGGAGGUAGCCAAAAAAUGUGCAGGAUUGCCAAUAGCCAUUGCGACAGUUGCAGGGGCUUUGAGAAACAAAAGGUUGUUUGAAUGGAAGAAAGUUUUACGAGAACUGGAGAGGCCUUUGUCAAGCAACUUCACGGGGAUAACUGCGGCAUAUUCAGCUAUAGAGUGGAGUUUUAAUUAUUUAGAAAGCAAAGAAGUUAAGCUGACUUUCUUGCUUUGCAGUGUAAUAGGCCAUAAUGGUCUGGUUGAGGACUUGGUAAGAUAUAGUCUAGGUUUGGGUUUAUUUGAUGGUGUCAAAACUAUGGAAGAAGCUAGAAAUAAAGUAUUGACGGUUGUGGCUAAUCUCAAAGCGUCUGCCUUGUUGCUUGAUAGUUAUAGUGAUGAGCGCUUUGAUAUCCAUGAUGUUGUUUGGGAUGCUGCUUUAGCUAUUGCAUUGAAGGACUAUCGUAUGCUUGUUUUGAGAGAUCAUGUUCCAAAGGAGUGGUCCGAUAAGGAGAAAAUGAAUAGGUGGAGUGUGAUCAGCUUACGUUGUCCUCAGAUUAUAGCUAAUCUUCCUAAGGAGAUGGAGUGUUCAGGUCUUUCCUUCUUCCAUAUGGCCGGCGCGAUUAAAAGAUAAUUCUUGGUUUCUUAUGAUCAUGCACAAAUUCUGUAAAAUUCUGAGGUGACGGAGGAUACUGAUCAGUUGCCCAAGCUGGAAUAAGAAAAUAUGUUUAGGUGCUUAUACGAAAAACUCAAUUUCGUUUGAAUUCAAAACAAAUGGUAAUUGACUCUUCUAUUUUCAUCAUGGCUUAACUAAUGCUUUAUAAAGUGACCAUAGAGACGCCCUUUUCAUUGUAGGUUGAGUUGCUCUACUGAAGCACAUGGCUGCAUCUGUUGGUAGAACGUGAAGGUUAUUUCAGUUUUUGUAAAACUACAAUUUGAACUGUUCCAUUUCACAUCAUAACCUUAAUAUUGAAUUUCAAGUGCAUCAUGCAUAUCAUUGGGAACUACAAACAUGCAAACUUUUACUAGUAAGGUUGACCCCUGUUUUAAUAUUCCAAUUCUUCUUAAAGGUGGAUGGAUUUGCCAAUUUUUGAUGGUUACCAUAUCAAUGUCAGCUUAGGGUUUAAGCGAUGUGCUGAAAGAUUGCUAUACAUAUUGUGUUUGUGCUUGUUUCAUCUUUCUUGUUCUCUCUAUAAAGAUUAUUGUUAACAUUAAUGGAAGACAAUUAAUAAUGGUUGCCAUUAACAUUAAUGGGAGACAAUCAAUAAUAACAACCACCAACUUUGGAAAAGUGGCAUGGGAUAAUUUUUUUUUGUCCUUGAGAUAAUGGGCUAUUUAUUGUUUGGUCCUUGAACCUCAACUAUAAAUAGGCCUUCUCAUUUCUCAUUUCAAUUCAUCCCAACCAAUCUUUCUCUCUUAGUUUUCUCUCUUCUCUCAUUUGAGAAUUCUUAAGGAAUUCUAUUUGUUUGUAAUAUUUUGGAGAUAGGAAAGUUAUCAUCUGGUGUUAAUACCCGAGGACGUAGGUAUAAUUUACCGAACCUCGUUAAAACUCUUGUGUUCUUUCUUGUCCUAUUUUUCUUUCAAUAUUUAAGGGUAUAAUUGUAGUAUUUAAUUGUGCUAUUAAAUUACUAUAAAAGGGAUAUUCUGACUAAGGAAAGACUUGGUAUUUAAGAGAUCCUUGUGAUCCACCUCUCUUCCUUGGGAAUUGAACUUUGUGUGAUUUUUUAGUACAAUAAUUUACACGCUUCCGACUCUAUUGGAACAACAAGUGGUAUCAGAGCCGAAGGUUAAUCGUAGUAUGCUCUGUGGUUGCAGUUUAAACUGAUCUUCCACAUCAGAAAAGAUUUCCUUAGGUAUAUUGAAAGAUUAUGGAGAAAAUGAUCGGUGUAGGAGCUUCAACAUCGUCUAUGUGGACAAGACCGACAAUUGUAAAUGCAAGAUUGGCCGUGGAGAUCUUUGAUAGCGCGGGCCAUUUUGGUAUGUGGCAAAGUGAGGUUCUAGAUGCCCUUUUUCAGCAGGGUCUAGACAUUGCCAUUGAUGAAGAGAAACCAGAUGAUGUACAUGAGAAAGAUUGGAAGGCGAUCAAUCGGUUGGCAUGUGGCACAAUUCGAUCAUGCCUUUCUCGAGAGCAGAGGUAUGCUUUUUCAAAGGAGACUUCUGCAAAUAAGUUGUGGGUGGCACUUGAAGAAAAUUUUUUGAAGAAAAACAGUCAAAAUAAGCUCCACAAUGAAUGAUCACAUCACCAAAUUUAAUCAGUUAGUCACUGAUUUGCUAAAUAUGGAUGAGACAUUUAAAGAUGAAGAUUUGGCUUUGAUGCUGUUGGGGUCACUUCCUGAGGAGUUUGAGUUCCUAGAAACUACUCUACUUCAUGGCAGGAGUGAUAUAUCUCUGAGCGAAGUCUGUGCGGCCUCAUACAGUUAUGAACAGAGAAAGAAUGACAAACAGAAAAACUCAAUCAGAGAUACAGAAGCUUUAGUAGUUCGAGGUCGUUCAUACACUCGGAAGAAAACUUAGAAGGAGAGAUCAAAGUUAAAGUCCAGACUCGAGAAAGAUGAAUGUGCCUUUUGUCAUGAGAAAGGCCACUGGAAGAAAAAUUGUCCAAAGCUGAAGAAUAAGGGAAAAGCUGCUGUCAAUGCUUGUGUUGUAAAGCAAGAUACCAGUGACUCUGAACUAUCACUGGUUGCAUCAUUAUCGUCGUUCCAUUCAGAUGAGUGGAUUUUGGAUUCGGGUUGUACCUAUCAUAUGUCCCCUAACCGGGAGUGGUUCUCUGAUUUAGUAGAACUAAAUGGAGGAGUUGUUUAUAUGGGCAAUGAUAAUGCCUGUAAAACUGUUGGGAUAGGUUCAAUUCAAUUAAAGAAUCAAGAUGGAUCAACCAGAGUUCUGACUGAUGUUCGGUACGUGCCCAGUUUGAAGAAAAAUCUCAUCUCAUUGGGAGCCUUGGAAUCCAAUGGUUUAGUUGUUACUAUGAGAGAUGGGGUUUUGAAAGUGACAUCUGGCGCACUUGUGAUAUUGAAGGGUAUCAGAAAAAAUAACUUGUAUUACUAUCAAGGUAGUACAGUUAUUGGAGCAGUCGCUGCAGCUUCCGGUAACAAAGACUUGGACUCAAUGCAGUUGUGGCAUAUGAAGUUGGGACAUGCCAGCGAAAAAUCAUUGCAAAUUCUGGCAAAGCAAGGAUUGUUGAAAGGUGCAAAGGCUUGCAAAUUAAAAUUUUACGAGCAUUGUGUUCUGGGAAAGUAAAAGAGAGUGAAAUUCGGCACUGCUAUCCAUAAUACAAAAGGUAUUUUGGAAUAUAUUCACUCAGAUGUGUGGGGGCCUUCCAAAACACCUUCGUUGGGAGGAAAACACUACUUUGUUACUUUUGUUGAUGACUUUUCCAGAAGAGUUUGGGUGUAUACCAUGAGAACUAAGGAUGAAGUGCUUGGAGUUUUUCUUAAAUGGAAAACUAUGAUCGAAAACCAGACUGGCAAGAAAAUCAAGCGGCUUAAGACGGACAAUGGAGGGGAAUAUAAAAGUGAUCCGUUCUUCGAUGUGUGCCAAGAGUAUGGUAUUGUUCGACACUUCACAGUUAGGGAUACACCGCAGCAGAAUGGAGUGGCAGAGCGUAUGAAUCGAACAUUGCUGGAGAAAGUUCGAUGUAUGUUGUCCAAUGCUGGGUUGGGCAAGCAAUUUUGGGCUGAGGCUGUGACAUACGCUGGCCAUCUUGUUAAUCGUUUGCCAUCAUCUGUAUUAGAAAGAAAAACUCCUAUGGAGGUAUGGUCUGGAAAACCGGCUACAGAUUAUGAUUUCUUACAUGUGUUUGGAUCCACUGCAUAUUACCAUGUGAAAGAAUCUAAGUUAGAUCCGAGGGCAAAGAAAGCUCUCUUUAUGGGAAUCACUUCUAGAGUGAAGGGAUUUCGUCUUUGGUGCUUAGACACAAAUAAAAUGAUCUGUAGCAGAGAUGUUACAUUUGAUGAAUCUGCCACAUUGAAAAAUGUAGCAGAUAAAGAUAUUCAGACGAGCGAUACUCCACAGCAGGUGGAGUGUACUCCAAAACAGGUGGAGUUUGAGCAGAUGAGGAUUUGCCCAGUUAAUAAGUCUAAUUCUCCAGCCACAAUGGAGGAAUUAGAGGUUGAAGAGGUUCUGACCCAAGAACCGUUAAGUACACCAGAACCAGUUGCAGUUGCAAGGCCACGGAGAGAAAUUCGUAGACCUGCUCGAUUUACUGAUAUGGUGGCCUACGCCCUUCCCAUUGUUGAUGAUGAUAUUCCUAUCACUUAUCAAGAAACAAUGCAAAGCUUAGAAAGUGAUAAAUGGAAAAGCGCCAUGGAUGAAGAAAUGCAGUCUCUCCGGAAGAACAAUACUUGGGAGUUGGCGCAAUUACCGAAAGGUAAAAGGGCAAUCGGAUGCAAGUCGGUAUUCGCAAAAAAAGAUGGAUCUCCUAGCAAGAAGGAUAUUCGCUACAAGGCAGCUAAAGGCUACGCUCAGAAGGAGAGAAUUGACUACAAUGAUGUAUUUUCCCCUGUUGUGAAGCAUUCCUCCAUUAGAAUUUUGUUAGCCUUGGUAGCACAGUUGAAUUUGGAGCUAGCUCAACUUGAUGUUAAGACGACUUUCUUGCAUGAUGAGUUAGAAGAGGAGAUCUAUAUGACUCAGCCCGAAGGAUACACAGAAGCUGGUGGUAGAAAUUGGGUUUGUAAGCUGAACAAAUCGCUAUAUGGAUUGAAGCAAUCCCCGAGGCAGUGGUACAAGCGAUUUGAUAGCUUUAUAAGAAGGCAGAAGUGCACAAGAAGCAAAUAUGACAAUUGUGUGUAUUUGUAGAAGCUGCAUGAUGGAUCUUUCAUUUAUCUACUCUUGUAUGUUGAUGAUAUGUUAAUCGCUUCGAAGAGCCAAAAAGAGAUAGAUAAGCUGAAGGCUCAGUUGAAUCAAGAGUUCGAGAUGAAAGAUCUAGGUGAGGCCAAGAAGAUUCUCGGUAUGGAGAUAAGUAGAGAUAGACAGAGAGGCAAGCUUUGUUUAAAUCAGAAGCAAUAUUUGAAAAAGGUAUUACAAUGUUUUGGUGUAAAUGAAAACACAAAACAUGUAAGUACCCCACUUGCUUCUCAUUUGAAACUUAGUGCUCAAUUAUUUCCGAAGACUAAAGAAGAAAGAGAAUAUAUGGCAAAAGUCUCAUAUGCUAAUGCAGUUGGGAGUUCGAUGUAUGCGAUGGUAUGUAUGCGGCCUGACAUUUCACAAGCUGUUGGAGUUGUGAGCAGGUAUAUGCAUGAUCCUGGAAAAGGACAUUGGCAAGCUGUGAAAUGGAUUCUACGGUAUCUUCGAAAAACUGUAGAUGUUGGUUUAGUUUUUGAGCAGGAUGAAGCACUUGGUCAGUUUGUAGUUGGAUAUGUUGAUUCCGACUUUGCUGGUGAUUUAGAUAAACGUCGUUCAACUACGGAGUAUCUGUUUACUCUUGCUAAAGCCCCAGUGAGUUGGAAGUCUACCUUACAGUCUACAGUAGCUGUGUCUACUACAGAGGCAGAAUAUAUGGCAGUUAUAGAAGCUGUUAAGGAGGCUAUUAGGCUUAAUGGAUUGUUGAAAGACUUGGGAGUUGUUCAAAGUCACAUUAGUCUAUAUUGUGACAGUCAGAGCGCUAUUCAUUUAGCGAAAAAUCAAGUCUAUCAUUCAAGAACCAAGCAUAUCGACGUAAGAUAUCACUUUGUGCGGGAAGUCUUUGAAAAAGGAAAAAUUCUACUUCAGAAGAUUCCGAUAGCAGAUAAUCCCGCAGAUAUGAUGACCAAGGUGGUAACAACAAUCAAGUUUAAUCAUUGUUUGAACUUGAUUAACAUCCUGAGAAUUUGAGCACCUUCAGGUGUAUAGCGCUCGAGAGCGCAUUUGGAGGCACUAUAGAAGAUAGCUUUAUCGAAUUUGGGGAGUUGAAGGAAGUGUGUGAAGAUGUGAUUAUCCUAAUCAAAUCUUCAAGGUGGAGAUUGUUAACAUUAAUGGAAGACAAUUAAUAAUGGUUGCCAUUAACAUUAAUGGGAGACAAUCAAUAAUGACAAUCACCAACUUUGGAAAAGUGGCAUGGGAUAAUUUUUUUUUGUCCUUGAGAUAAUGGGCUAUUUAUUGUUUGGUCCUUGAACCUCAACUAUAAAUAGGUCUUCUCAUUUCUCAUUUCAAUUCAUCCCAACCAAUCUUUCUCUCUUAGUUUUCUCUCUUCUCCCAUUUGAGAAUUCUUAAGGAAUUCUAUUUGUUUGUAAUAUUUUGGAGAUAGUAAAGUUAUCAUCUGGUGUUAGUGCCCGAGGACGUAGGUAUAAUUUACCGAACCUCGUUAAAACUCUUGUGUUCUUUCUUGUCCUAUUUUUCUUUCAAUAUUUGAGGGUAUAAUUGUAGUAUUUAAUUGUGCUAUUAAAUUACUAUAAAAGGGAUAUUCUGACUAAGGAAAGACUUGGUAUUUAAGAGAUCCUUGUGAUCCACCUCUCUUCCCUGGGAAUUGAACUUUGUGUGAUUUUUUAGUACAAUAAUUUACACGCUUCCGACCCUAUUGGAACAACAAUUAUUACGUACUUAUUUCUAUGCAAUCUCACAGUUUUCUGAUGAAAAGUUGAAGCUAAUUACUCCAUUCCCAAGUUUCCCAUAUUCAUCCUCACAAAAACAUAAAUGAUAAAAACCCCAUUUCUCUUUUAAUCAAUUGGAGAAACUAUCAAAAGCUAGAAUAAAACAAACCAAUGCCAUGCCUAUAUUGAAUUAAAUCGCAUGCAUGCAUGUAUCAAUUGUUCUGUAGUGAACAACAGUGACGUUAUAUUCAACUAUGGCAUCUCCAAUCUUAUUAAACCAAGCUACAAUGUAGCCUGAUGAUUUGCAUGGCUGUAGGGUGUAAUAGUAAAAUAUUGAUAAGAUGUGCUAUCCACGUGAUUAUUCUUAUAUUUAAAUAUAAUAAGUUCAUUUUCAAAUAUAAUAAUUCAAAGGAAAUUUUAAACAAUUGAAUUUAAUUUGAUUAUAAAAAGUCUAAAAAUUUGAACUUAUGCAAUUCGGAUUCAAAUGAACUUGAAAGGAAUUUAUUGAAAAAUUCAAGUUUCAAACUCAAGUGAUUUGAACUCGAACAUAAAAUUAUUACUUGGAUGUGAAAAUUCUACAAACAUCCCAGAAAAAAAAGAGGAUCUUCUUUUUCUUUAUGGCUAGACUAGAAUUCUCUCUUCUCCAUCUCCACAUCCGUUGAUCUAAUGAAUCAACAAUCAACAAUAUUUUGGACUGUAUAUUUUGAUUUAUAAUGUAUUAAUUAGUUCAAACGAUUCAUAUAAUUUGAAAGCAUAUUUUUAAAUCUAAAAAGUAGAAGAGCUAAAUUCUUGAAAGUAAAAAUAAAGAACUAAGUUUCAAAUGUAUGAAAUAAGACCUUCGAGUAUAUUUUAACCUUCAAUUUUUUACUUUAUAAUUUGAUACUAAUAAAUAAUCAAUUUAAUGUGAAAUAUAAAUGGACUAUACUAAUUAUUGUAAUAAUUGAUUUUUUUUAAUGUCGUUCGUGCAAUUAAAUAACAACGAUAAAGGCUAAUCUUUUUCAAAACAUGCCUACGUUCUCAUUUAAUAAAUGAUUUUAAUUUUUAUAUAAUUCUUCAUUCAACUUAAUGUAGUUCAAAGUUGAUUAUAUAGGUGAAACCAGAAAUAUUUUUUAGGGAUUAAAAUUAAAUUAUAUAUUUUUACGAUAGUGAAAAUAUAAUUUUAUUAUUUUAAUAGUUUAUAUCUUUAUAAUUUUUAAAGGAUUAAUCAAAAUUUUAUUAUUUAAGAAUUAAAAUCUAAUUUUACUAUUAUUAAUUUUUAAAAUUUUAAUUUAAAAUUCACUUUGCUUAGUUGGUGAAAGCGAAAGCUGUGAGUAUUGAAUAAUCAGAUUCGAAAUUUAGAGUGAUAGAAUAUUUUCCCGUUAAAAUAUGUUUUGGUAUAAGACAUUUUAGGACUGUUUUCAGAGCUGUUUCCACGAGACUUCCUUUCUUUUAAAAGUAAGAUGAAGUCAUCUUUCUCAAAUCAUUACUUUCUGGCUUUGCUCUCUGUUAAGAAAAAGAAAAAAAGACAGAAGGGGGAAAAUUAUCAGUUAUUGAUCAUAGCCAAAAGGUACGCCACUGCUUUGCUCUUACUCUUUUGAAAUACUUGUCGGUAUAAAUAAGCUUAGGCAGGCAGUUUUAACCAUGAAAAUGGACUUCUUUUAUGCUUUAAAUCUAUUUAGCCCUUCUAUUUUAGCUUUAAGAUUUUGAGUCCUGUACUUUUUCGAUUUAAAAUCUUCAUCUUUCCAUUCAAGUUUACCCUUACUGUUGUUGACCUGACAAAUAUAAAAAGAUCAAAUAAAUUUUUUAGCCUUAAUUUCAUCUUUACUUUUUAAAAUUACAUAAAAAUUCAGAAUUAAAAAGAAAACAUAUUUUCAGUAAAAUCCAUAAAAAAAAUUGUGGGAAAAACUCUUUAAAGUUAGUAGAAAAAAGGGAUAAGAAGGGGUGACUAUUAGGAAAGCUGCAUAAGCACUUUUGUUUGGGAUCUAUCAACAACUUGUGGCCCACAUACUGCAAUAUGGUUAUUAAGUGGUUGACUACUGAUUUAUGUUGUAGAAGAAGGAUUUGUAGUAGAUUUGUUUUCCGGGUCCGGACUCGGCCCAACUAAAAAAAUGACAUAAAAUUUUACUUAAAUUUGACCUAGAUAAAAAAUAUUAAAUUUGAACUCGUUCGUAUUAAAUUUUUUAGAUUAUUUUUUUAUAUAAAAAUAAGUUUAAAAAAUAUAAUACAUUAAAUACUUUAAAAAAAUUAAAAUAAAUAUUUCUCAACAAAUUGAAAAUAUAUUAAAGAAAAUAUUUAUACUUAAUUAACACUAACAUAGUUGCAACUUAGCAAACAAAUAUUUUUAAAAUAAUAGCAAAAUUAAAAAUAAAAUAAGAAUUAUAUAAUAUCUUAAUAAUAAUAACAAAAUAGUAGUAAUAUAAUAGUGAAACAGUAGCAAAAUAACAACAUGACAGCAAAAAACAACAACAUAAAAGCAGUAAACAGCAGCAAAAAAAUAAUUAAAUUCGGGUCAGGUCUAAACUAAAAAAAUCUUGUUUGAGGCUUGGCCCGUUUAAAACUCAAAUCUUAUUUUUUUUCGAAGCUUAUUUUUUGGAUUUAUAUUAUUACCUACACUCUUUUAUGUUUUGGAUGGACUUUGUAAUUCGACUAAUGAUCAAGUCUAUUUUAUAGUGAAGGUUGGAAAGAUGGUUUGAUAGGUUACUAAAAUUAAAUGAAAAAUCAAUUAGAAAACAAAUUAAAUAUUCAAACAUUAUAUAUAAUUGAUUUGAACUAAAUUAACAAAAUACUUUGAUACUGCUUGUAGAAUAAAAAAAAAACAGUACACCAAACAAUCACCUGUUUAAUCAAAAUAUAAGAAAUAGGUAUAAUUUUGAAUUAGUUGAAAAUAAUUUAAAUAAUAAUUAGAAAACUAUUUUCUAAAAGAUGAUUAUUCCUUCAAUACUUAGCAAAAAAAAAAAACUAUUCCUUCAAAAAAAGAUAAUUAUUAAAAAAAUAUAGUUAGAUAUAUGUCUAUACUAAUAAAAGAUUAUCUAUUAAACAAAAUUACUUUACUUUAAUUGUCAUAAAGUAAAACAUUAAUCUCAUAUUUAUAAUUUUAAAAUUUUAACUCUUCAAUGGUAGUUAAGAUUAUGCAAUUGAGUUCUUUUUAAAAAAUAUAUAAGAUAAUUCAAGUUUUGGUCUUUGUUGUCGCUGUGGUUAUUCAGUUUGCUUUCUCAAUGGAGAUUGUUAUUGCCAUCGUUGGCUCUAUUGUCGCCAAAGCUGUAGAGUAUACGAUCUCUCCUAUCAAAAACCAUGUCAAAUACCUUUCCAAUCAUCAGAAAAAUGUUGAGACCCUCAAGAACCGAGCUAAUAGGCUGAAAGAUGCAAGGGACGGAGUGCAGCAUUGUGUUGAUGCAGCUAAACAAAACGGUGAGGAGAUCGAAGGUGAUGUUGACAAAUGGCUGUCUGCUGUCGACAAAAAGAUCCUUGAACAAGUAGAGGAAGUGAUGCAAGAUGAAGAAAAAGCAAAGAAAAAGUGUUUCUGUUGCGCGGAAGCGUGUGAAAGAGUAAAAUUAUUGUACUGAAAAAUCACACUAAGUUCAAUUCCCAGGAAAGAGAGGUAGAUCACGAAGAUCACUUAAAUACCAAGUCUUUCCUAGCCAGAAUAUCCCUCUAUCGUAAUUUAAUAGCACAAUAAAUCACUACAAUCACAUUCACAAAAUAUGCAAAACAAAUAAUAAAGAACACCAGAAUUUUAACGAGGUUCAGCAAAUUUUGCCUACGUCCUCGGGCACUACCAAAUAUAUUUCACUCCAAAAAUUACAAGUGAAAUUUACAAAUAGAGAGAGAGAAUAAUGCCUUAAGUAGAGAAUGGCAAUUAUGGGAUGAAGAAAGUAAGCAAUGGUUAGGCCUAUUUAUAGUUGAGGUUCAAGGAUCAACUUGCAAUGUCCCUAUACAAUUAGGGACCAAAAUUGCAAUUAUCCCAUGCCAACUUUUAACCCAACUUGCCAACCAAUAUUACUUUAUACUUUCGGUGCCCACCCCAUUUGACUUUUCAAACAAUGGCAGGUUCCAAUAGUUUCAUUGGUUUGUGUCCUAAUUUCAGGACUCUUUACAAGCUUAACCUGAAAGCUGAAGAGGAGGCAAAGGCUGUUGCCGAGCUACUUGAGCAUGGCAAGUUUGAAAGGGUUUCCUAUCGUGCAGCUCCGCAAGGUAUCGUGGUUGCACCAGUUAAAAGUUACCAGGAAUUCGAGUCAAGAACCUCGAUUUUGAACAGAAUUAUGGAGGCACUAAAAGAUGAUAGCGUCAGCGUUGUUGGGGUGCAUGGUAUGGGUGGGAUUGGAAAAACAACACUGGUCAAAGAAAUCACUAGAAAGGUCAAGGGCAAGUUGUUUGAUUCGGUUGUCAUAGCAACCGUAACUCAAGCCAUCGAUAUUGAGAAGAUUCUGAACCAAAUUGCAGACUUCUUGGGCUUGAAAUUUGAGGAACAGAGUAUGGUUGGAAAGGCAUUUCGACUACGAGAAAGAAUGAAGGAGAAGAGGAUUCUGGUUGUGUUGGAUGAUAUUUGGGAAAAGUUAGAUAUUGAGGAAGUUGGGAUUCCUUUGGGAGAUGAACACAAGGGAUGCAAGUUGCUGUUAACUUCUAGAGAACUCAAUGUUUUAUUAAAUGGGAUGGAUGCUCAGAAAAAUUUUCCCAUCGGGGUUUUAAAUGAAAAGGAAGCCUGGGACCUGUUCAAGAAGAUGGCUGGCGACUGUGUUGAAAGUUGCGAUUUGAAACCUAUAGCUAUGGAGGUAGCCAAAAAAUGUGCAGGAUUGCCAAUAGCCAUUGCUACAGUUGCAGGGGCUUUGAGAAACAAAAGAUUGUUUGAAUGGAAGAAUGCUUUACGAGAACUGGAGAGGCCUUCGUCAAGCAACUUCACGGGGAUAAAUGCUGCAUAUUCAGCUAUAGAGUGGAGUUUUAAUUAUUUAGAAAGCGAGGAAGUUAAGCUGACUUUCUUGCUUUGCAGUGUAAUAGGCCAUAAUGGUCUCGUUGAGGACUUGGUAAGAUAUACUCUAGGUUUGGGUUUAUUUGACAGUGUCUACACUAUGAAAGAAGCUAGAAAUAAAGUAUUGACGGUUGUGGCUAAUCUCAAAGCGUCUGCCUUGUUGCUUGAUAGUUAUAAUGAUGAGUGCUUUGAUAUCCAUGAUGUUGUUUGGGAUGCUGCUUUAGCUAUUGCAUCGAAGGACUACCGUAUGCUUGUUUUGAGAGAUCAUGAUUCAAAGGAGUGGUCUGAUAAGUUGAAAAUGAAGAGCUGGAGUGUGAUCAGCUUACGUUGUCCUCAGAUUAUAGCUAACCUUCCUAAGGAGAUGGAGUGUACAGGUCUUUCCUUCUUCCAUAUGGCCGGCGCAGUUAAAAUUCCUCCCAAUUUUUUCAAACAAACCAAAGGCCUCAAAGUCUUAGAUUUGUUUGGAAUGCAGUUUUCAUCCCUACCUAAAUCAAUUAUUCACCUCACAGACCUUCGCAUGUUGUGUCUAAAAGAAUCUGCAGUUGAUGACAUAACCAUCAUAGGAGAGCUGAAGAAUUUAGAAAUCCUUGACCUUGCUAAGUCAGGUAUCAAAGAACUACCUAAGGAGAUGGCACAAUUGACUCAAUUAAGGUUGUUAGAUUUGAGUUGGUGUAGAGAACUCGAAAUCAUCUCACCAAAUGUCUUAUCAAGUUUAUCUGAAUUAAAAGAAUUAUAUAUGGGUGGAAGCUUUGUUGAAUGGGAAAAGGAAGGAGUAGCUCAAAAUGAGAAGAAAAAUGUAAGCCUUGACGAAUUAAACAAUUUGCCUUGUCUGACUACUUUAUAUGUUCGUAUCCCUGAUGCCCAAAUGAUUCCAAAGCAUCGAUUCGUUGAAACUUUGGACAAAUAUGUUAUUUGUGUAGGUGAUUAUAAUAGGUCUGUAUGGUGCCAAAAUCAUGAAUGUUUGAGAACAUUGAGGCUCAAGUUAUGUACAAACAUUCAUUUGGACAAUGGGUUGAAAAUGUUGCUGAUAAAGACUGAAGCUUUGUACCUAGAGGGACUUGAAGGCGUCAAGAACGUACUUGUGGAGUUAAAUAAUGGGAAAGAUCUUCCACAUUUAAAAAGGCUUCACAUCGAAAAUAGUAUGCAUGUACAGUAUAUUACAAUGAAUGAAAUUGGGGUUUCUGAAUUAUGCUCUAUCACACUUGAAAAUCUACCACAACUCAGUAGCUUUUGCUCUCAAGAAAAAAGGUGUUCCAUUAUUUCCGAGCCCUUACCACUUUUCAAUAAACAGGUAUCUGUUUGCUUUUAUUCAUAAAUUCUUAUACAACUUUUAGUUAGUAAUGCUUCUAAUAAUAAAAAUAAAUAAUAUUGUAUAAUGGUUUUCAGGGUUCAAAUAUAAAUUUCAAACUCAAUAAAUGGAAAUUUAAUUUCAAAUCCAAACUGACUGCCUAACAAUUUUUUUUUAAUUCUGAAAAUGAAAUUGGAACCAACAAUUCCAACUAAAAUUGUCUUUAAAAUUUAAAAUCACAUUCUAUCUUUCCCUUUCCUCUCCUUUUAGAUUUUAAAGAAUAAAAAUAAUUGUGUGUAAAUAUGUGCAAUUUAUUUUCCAUCACUUGGAAAGCUUGCAAUUAACACCAAAAUACUAUGGCACAACCAGGCAUGUCCUUGGAUUACGAAUUUGAGGAGCUUGAUCAUCGACAGAUGUGGUAAGUUGGAGCAUCUGUUAUCACCUUCUCUCGCUAGAAGUCUGGUGCAGCUCCAAUGCUUUAAGAUAAAGGAUUGCGAGGGCUUAAGGGACAUAAUACUUACAGAGAAAAUUGAAGAAGAAAGGAAAGAUGUGAUUUGUUUGCCUCGGUUAAAUUCCCUGCAUAUAGUGAGACUUCGAAACCUCAUUUUCUUUUGCUCGGGAAAUUAUAAUAUCGAGUUCCCAUUAUUGAAAACGCUAGAGAUUGAGGGUUGCCCAAAUUAAAAGAAUUUAUUAGUCAAACUAGUACGCAGUCCGGCAUGCAUACUCUCUUCAAUGAGAAGGUGAUUUAUCUCAUUACUCUUACACUCUAAAAAAUUCAGCUGCUUUGUCCUUGUUAUUUUGCCUGCAUUAUAUGAGCUAACUUUUGUAUGGGCAUGAAUUAUAUAUUGUAUAGGCUGCAUUUCCUAGGUUGGAAAGGAUGAAAAUCGUCAACAUGAUAAAUGUGAAGAUGAUAUUUCAUAAUGACCUAGCAUCAAGUUCCUUACAAAAUCUACGAGAAAUAAGAGUUGAGAGAUGUGGGAGUCUGAAAAAUCUAUUUCCAGUGUCAAUAGCCAAAGAUCUUCCACAACUUGAAGAUUUAUGCAUCACUAAUUGUGGAGUGGAGGAGAUUGUAUCGAAAGGGGAAGGAGUGGAGGAGCAGCCUGUGAGGUUUGAGUUUCCGCAAGUGUCUUCCCUUAAGGUUACAUCCCUAAAAAACCUCAAAUGUUUCUAUGAAGGGCAACAUACAAUAGUCUGGCCCAUGUUGAAAAAAUUGAAAACAGAUUGUUCUGCUUUGCUGAAGAUAGUGGCUUCGGAACAUCUUAGAUUAAUCCAAGGAAAUGAGCAACCAGUUUUGUUGGUUGAAGAGGUAUGUAUAUCAUUACAACUAUAUUUCUUUUCAUGAUUUAAGCCCUGUCACAUGUAUCUCAGGUUGAUAUAUGCCACGAUCAUGCAUUUUUAAGUAUUAUAAUUUAAAUCACGGUCACAUGCAUCUAAAUGUGAUAUAAUUUUUUUAUUUUUUUUUAUUUUUAAAUUUUUUUAUAUAUUUUUGAAUUUUGAUAUUUUUUAAAACUUUUGUUACAUAUAUAUAUUUAUUUUUAAAAGCAAGAAUGAAUAGACAUAACAGGUAAAUAUUGAUGGCUAACCUUGAUAUUUUAGAAUUAAGUCUAAAUUGAUAGAUAAUGUAAGUUUCGAGGAUUGAAUUUGUUAUUAUGCCAAAAAAAGAAAAGAAAAAUGCUACAUUAGCAUCCUGUUAGGGACUUAGCAGCAUAGCGAGUAAAAUAUUAAACUUCUCUAACAGUAGUGGUUAAAUUGAGGUUUUAUUUGUUUUCAAGUAAUCAAAAUAAAUAUAUUCUAUUACCUGAGUGAGUAUUGAUGUAAUUUACCCUACAUUUAAGUAAUGGGUAGAAAAUAAAUCCCAACCCUUGAUUCACUCCAAAGAAAAAAUAACCAUUCAAUAAAAAGUCAAAAUUUUAAGAGUUAAUUAUACUAUAUAUCCCAAAUUAUAACAUUCAUUUUAAAUUAGUCCCCAAACUUUAAAACUUUCUAAUUACACCCUCAAACUAUUGAGAUUAUAUCAAUAAAGUUUUUCUGUUACUAAACUUGUUAAUUUAACCAUUAAAUUAGACCAAUGUAAUAUUUUAAAACCUUAGUGUUUUAACUACAUUAUUCUGCAUAUAUUUUUAUCAUAUAUAUAUAUAUAUAUGUUUUUAUCUGAAACGGUGGUUGUUUAUCCAUUUUAAGUUCGAUUUGCUGCUCUUCUUUCAGCUUAUUUUUAUCAAGUUUUAUUUUUAAGGUAUUGUGUUUUCUUAAAACAAAAAAUUCAUCUAUUUUAAUUCGUUUGCUUUAAUAUUGAUUUUGUUGGGACUUAAUCAUCAAAAUCAAACAUUAAAAUUGUAGAUCUUAUGUUCUUUUUAAGCAUAUAGAUCAAAAUUGUGCCUAACUUGUUUAUGUUUAAUUGGUUUCCAAGGUGAUUCCCAAAUUAGAGAAACUUAAGUUACUAGAUUUUGGUGAUAUGGACCAGUUUCCACCAGCUUUGUUUCAAGAUAUUAAAGUUUUGGAAGUGACAGGUGGCACUCGAUCUUCUAUAUUUCCUUUCGUCCGAAGAUUCUGCAAUCUGGAUAGUUUUCAGCUUUUUAAUUUUAAUUUCAAAUACAUAGUCCCUUGUAAAGGAGACGCUGGGACUCGCUCACCAAUUAGAAAUUUGGUAUUGGUUAAUGCCAUAAAUCUUAAGCAUAUAUGGAGGAAAGAUUCGGAGCUUGACCAUAUUCUUUCUAAUCUCCGAACACUCAGAGUUGGGGCAUGUGAUGAUUUGAUAAAUAUUAGAGCCUCCUCAUCAUCUUUACAAAAUCUCACAACUUUGAAUGUGUACUCUUGCAAAAUGAUGACAAACUUAGUUACACCCUCAGUAAUUAAGAAUUGUGUGCAAUUAACGACAAUGAGGGUAGAGUAUUGCACUAAAAUGACAGAAAUAGUGGGAAACGAGGGAGACUACCAUCAGACAAUAGUUGUGAGUAAAUUGAAAUGUUUAGAACUAAGCAAUUUACAGAGCCUCACAAGCUUUUGUCCAGGGAAUUACACCUUCAACUUUCCUUGUUUGGAAGAAUUAAUUGUGGCACAGUGUCCUAGGUUAAAGAUCUUUUCUGAGGGAGUUUUAAGCACCCCACAAUUACGAAGAGUAAAACAGUCGGGUUACCGUGAGAAAUGGAGUUGGACAAGGGACUUGAAUACAACCAUACAACAGCUUUACACGGAAAAGGUACAAAAGUUAAUAAGUUCAUAAAACUAGCUAGCUUCUUCCUGUCCUAAUACAAUUAAUUUUAUUACUACUUCAAUAAUCAUUGAAGAGCAUUUAUCUUUAUUUUGUUAUUGUUUGCAUUUUCUAUUUAUGAUUGCUAUCUAGUGGAAUAAUAUCAUAUAUUUUUUUAGGAUGGAUUCUUUGACGGACGAUCUUUGAACAUCUCUGACACAUGUCCCAAGUCAAUAGAAAUAUGGAUUAGGAACCCUCAAGAAAUUUUGGGCAGAAACCUUAUUUCUCUGAAUUAUUAUAAAUGUAGCAGCUUGAAGUACAUUUUUACUCCGUCUAUGCUUUUGAGCCUCAAUCAACUAGAAUGGCUAGAAGUAAAAGAAUGCAAUUCAAUGGAACAAGUGGUUAGGGAGGAGGAGGAGGAAGCAAUGACACAUAAAUUUACAUUUCUUGAGCUAUUCUCCAUAAGAAUUGAGUCAUGUCCCAACUUGACAAAUUUCCAUUUGGGAAGUCAAGCUCUUGAAUUUCCAGAGUUGCUUAGAAUCAAAAUAGUUGAUUGUCCAAAAAUGACUGCAUUUUCUUCCUCAACUUCAAGAGAGAGUGGUGAUGCAAGUGAAAACGUGGUUGGCGAAGGGGGCAUCUAUGAUAACAAUGCAGCUUUUUUCAGCAAUAAGGUAAGUUUGGUAUUUAAUAUUUAUCUGCAUAACUUAUUUCACAUUUUCUUUUUAUUUGAUCACCAUGAGUGUGUCUGGUCUAUAUAUAAAUACUAGUAUUAAUGUCACGUGCUACACGACGUCAAAAUUUAAUAUAAUAAAAUCCAUAAAAGUAUUAAUAAAUAAGAUAAUACUGUUAAAAAAAAUUGGAGUUGAAAGUAUAAAUAAAUAUAUAAAAUAAGAAUUGAAGGAAAAACUUAAAGUGAAAUACUAAUAAACAAUAAGAAUUUAAGAGAAGUUUUAAAUUAAAUACUAAUAGACAAUAAAUAAUCAAAUAAUAAUAGAAAACUAAUAUUCUUCUAUUUAUAUUUGAGAGAAUUGGUGCAUAAAUUCCAUAUACCAUCAAUGAAUAAAUAAUAAGACAAAAAAAUAGUGAAGUGUUUAUAAAUAAAUAGUAAUAAAUUUAUCUAAACAUUAUUAAAUAAUAAAUAAAUGCUAAAAUCAUAAACCAUAAAUCUAAGACCCUAAACCAUUAAACAUAAGAUCCAAAAUUUGAGAGUCAUAAAUAUUUAUUUAUAAUAGCUACGUUUAAUGUUAUUUAUGUUUAAAUAAGUUUUUUUUUUUGGUGAGAAGUUUAUUAUUAUUUAUUUGUAAGUCUUCCAUAUUUUUUUGUUUAAUUUAAUUAUAUUGUGUCAUGUUAUUCAAUGGCAGAGCCAGGAUAUUAAUCUUAGGGGGGUUAAUCUAAAAUUAGAAGUGUUAUGUAACAGUCGAUUUAAAUAUAUAAACAAUCAAUUUAAAAGAAGCAAUAUUCCAACAUGAAAAUCGAUCUAAACAUAUAAAAAAUAUAUUUAAAAAAGGCAGUAUUCCAACAAUUAAGACAAAAUAGCUAUCAUUUGACUCGGUUAACCAUUUUUUAUUCCAAAUUUGAAAUAUAAGGUAUGUUUUUCUUCAAACUUUUCAUAGGUUUUGAAUAUUUGAAACUUGUUUUACAAAUAUAUACCAAUAGUUUUUUGUUUUAUCGAGUAUAUUAAAAGUUGUCAUUAAAGGAUAUUGACGGAACUUGGAAGCUUAUAAAAUUAAGUGAAACGUGUAUGUUUUUAGAUGGAAAAUGAUUAAAAGACGGUUUCUAACUUGUUAGAAGUGUAAAAAUGAAACAAAAAUAGUUAGAUAAUGUUAUAGUAAGUUUCGGCCAAAGUAAAGGGGAGGAAGAAAACUUUGGUCACUUUGUUUAAAAUUAUCUCAACUGAUAGCUUGUGAAACAGUGAGCAUUCCAGUAAAAACGGAAUAAAAAAUGGUUAACCAAGUCAAAUGAUAGCUAUUUCGUCUUAAUUGUUGGAAUACUACUUCUUUUAAAUAUAUUUUUUAUAUGUUUAAAUUGAUUGUCAUGUUGGACUACUGUUUCUUUAAAUAGAUUGUUUAUAUAUUUAAAUCGACUGAUACAUAGCACUUCUAAUUUUAGCUUGGCCCCCCCAAGAUUAAUAUCCUGACUCCGCCACUGAAUACUUCUAAAAAUGUUCUGCUCACUACUACUCAAACCUUUAAACUGUCUUCUAUUUCUUUCUGGCCAGACUAAGUUAAUGAAAACAUUCCAUGCUAGGUUCAGAAUGUAAACAAUAUAGAGCUUUGCCUUCAAGUCUUGUGCAAAGCCACCCGAUCUCAUGAUUCCAUCCCCCAACUUCUCUUUGAAUAUUACAAAGCCGUAAAUCGGUGCCCCAUACAGUUUUGGCAAACAUACAAUCUGCAAAAAGAUGAUCUCUUGUUUCUUGGUUCCCUUGACAUGGCAAACAAUGACCUUCAAUGCUCAUUCCUCUUCCAAUAACUUUUUAGCAUGAUGAAUCUCCAACUUUACAAAAAAAAAAAAAUUAACUUUCCAUUUAAAUUUUCACCUCUUUCGGGCAUUGAAUUUUCAUUUUUGUAACAUAACAAUCCAUUUUUAUGCCAUGUUAAUAAUUAAAUACUUUUAAAAAAAUUUAAAUUACUUUAUAAAAUUUUCAAAAUUAAAAAAAAUUGUUGACAUGGUAUCUCUAUGGCAAUCCAAUGCAUACCAUGUCAGUAAAGUUAACAAAUGUUAAUUUUUUAUCCAUUUAGAAUGAUUUGACAAAUAAUAAAAUUUUAAGAAAUAAAAGAAACGAAAAAUAUUUUAUAUAAAAUUAAAGGGUUAAAUAAGUGAUUAUGCUUAACUUUUUUUUAAGUUAACUCAUUAAAAAACUUAUUUUAAGUAAUUAAUGUAAAUCAUUAAUGGAAACCACAUAAAUAUGUGAGUCCAACUUAAUUAAAAACAAGCAUAUUCCCCUGUCGAAUUGCAUUAAUAAUAAUCAUUCAACAGUCAUUAUAGCAAAUAUGAAAGCUCGAGGUUUUAUAGAAAAAGGCUUUUUUAUUUAAAAAAAAAAAGAAAUUUUGCUUUAGGUUAGAUUUAUGCUGCUGAACAUUUCAUCUAAAAAAAGGGUUCACGUCUCCUAGCUAUAUUUAUCACUUUAAAUGUCAAGUUGAUGUUUGAAUAUUAACCUCAACUUAUCAGUUUAUAAAUCUUUAUACUCAUCUACUCAUUUUGAUUAUAUUUACAAGUACAGAAGGAAGAGUGAUAUUAUCUUAUAAUGAAAUUUAUGUCAACAGGUUGUCAUUCCUCGUUUGGCGAAUCUGCACUUGUCCUGCAUUAACAUUCAUGAGAUAUGGCACCACCCCUCUUCCCAAUCUGUCGGAUGCCUAAAACACUUGCAAGUGAAGAGGUGUCACAAUUUGAAAUACCUGUUCCCGUCUUUCUUGGUAAAAGAUCUUGUGCAACUCCGACGCCUUAAAAUUUUGGAAUGUAAUAUGAUGGAACAAGUAAUAUUCACGGAUGGAUUGGUUGAGGAACAUCAAGGGAGGAAUCAGAUGUUUUUCUCUAAUCUACAGUUGCUGUGGCUAAAAGACCUUCCCAAGCUCACAAGGUUGUGCUUUGAAAAUUACUUUGAAUUCCAAUGUUUGACAGAUUUAGAACUAACAAAUUGUCCAUUGCUAAAAACAUUCAUCACUAAAUAUGUAUCGGAAGAUGAACCUGAAAUUGGCCAACAUGUACAAGCAAGUAACUUGGAGGUUCAUAACUCGUCUCUCCUCAAUGAAAAGGUCAUUUCUUUACGGGUUCUCCUUUUAAUUUAUGUUACUUAUAUUGAUCUUAUUCAUUUGAAGUUCUUUCUUUUCCAUGCAUAUUUCAGUUAUUAACCUAAUGAAAUGAUUUAGCAGGUUGUUUUCCCUAGUUUGGAGAAGUUGCGGAUUCAGAAUUGUGAUUCGUUAGAACAAAUUAUUGAGCUGCAAGGAGUCAUUGCUGAUGAGUCACAGUCAACAUCAGCUGCUCAAUCUACUAUGGCUGAAACAGAGACGACCAAGUUUGUAUUUCCCAGACUAAUAAACCUUGGAUUGGAUAAGGUGCCGAGAAUGAAAAAUUUCUACUCUAGGAUGCAUACCACCCAGUGGCCUUCAUUGAAAAAAAUGGACAUUAUUGAAUGCCCCAAAGCGCAGAUAUUUACUCCACAAUGUCCUGAGAGUCAGGUUGGAAUCUCAAACCAACAACCCUUGUUUUGCGUCAAUGAGGUAAGUGUUGGUGCAAGAGGCAGCAACAAACUGUUUCUAGUCUUGCUUGAGUAGUAAGUUUCGAGCCUUGGUGAAGAAGCAAGCUCGGAAGCAGAAAACAGAAAGAUGAAACUAGCAAGCGAAAAAAAAACAGAAAGAGAGAAGAAGAUUGAAUGAAAAAGAGCUGAUAUCUUUCAUUGACAUUACAACAAGGCAUUAAGCCAUUACAUAUAUUAGUCAAUAAGUAAAACAAACAAGUAAUCACCUAAUCAACUACCUAACUCCACUAAUUUGCAUUGAAACUUACAAGAUUAGCUUGUACAACUUGCAUUGCUGACUUUUCAGUCAAUCAAUAUCAAAACAUUUACCUACUUAGUUCAACAUGAACUAGAUUACAAAACAAUCAAAAUGAAACUAAAACAGCAAAUAGAUUGGCAGCUUCAAACUUUAAUUACUGCACACCAUGGCACCACUGCUUGCUGCAAUUCCAGGAGCAUGACCACCUUUGUAUGUCGUGUAUGGCCACCUUUGCAUGGGAACUAAACUUAACACUCCUCCUUAGUUUCCAUGCUAGUAACACCUAAUUCCCUUUUGAAUUUAACAAAUUUAGACACAUUGAGUGCCUUUGUGAAGAUAUCAGCAAUUUGCACUUCUGAAUUGCAAUAAAUCAGCUCGAUUUCAUGAGCUUGUUCCAUCUCCCUUAUAACAUGCAACUUAAUAUUGAAGUGCUUGGUUCUGCCAUGAAAAAUGGGAUUUUUUGCAAUUGCAACAGCAGAUUUGUUGUCACAAUAAAUCUCUGUUGCCUCCUUUUGGUUUUGGUUUAAAUCAGCCAAGAUUUUUCUAAGCCAUAUGGCUUGGUUCACAGCUGAUGCAGCAGCAACAUAUUCAGCUUCUGCUGUUGAUUGUGCCACCAGACUUUGUUUCUUAGAACUCCAGCAAAACAUGCCUGAGCCAAGACUGAAUGCAUAUCCGGAUGUGCUCCUCAUGUCAUCACUUGAUCCAGCCCAGUCACUAUCAACAUAGCCUAUCAGCUUCAUGUUUUCAGCCCUUUUGAACAAUACACCAUGACUAAUGGUGCCUUUGAUGUAUCUUAGCACCCUUUUAGCUGCUUGAAAGUGCUGAUCAUUGCAGCAAUUCAUGUAUCUUGAUAGCACACUAACAACAAACAUGAUAUCGGGCCUUGUGGCAGUCAAAUACAACAGACUACCAAUGAGACUCUUGUACAUGGUCUCACAAAUUGGUUCACCACUCCCUUGUCUCGAAAGCUUCACUCCAACAGCCAUUGGUAUGCUUGUUGGCUUGCAGUUCUUCAUAGAGAACUUGUCCAGGAUCUUCAUAGUAAAAGAACUCUGACUAAGAAAGAUUCCCUUUUCUGUUUGGUUCACUUCCAUUCCAAGGAAGUAGUUCAUUCUGCCUAAAUCAGACAUUUCAAACACUUCCAUCAUUUUUCUUUUGAAAUUUUCCAGCAUUCUUCUAUCUCCUCCAGUUACCAAUAGAUCAUCAACAUAGAGUGACAGAAUAAGCUGAGUUUCAGCUUGGUUCUUCUUCACAUACAGUGUUGGUUCACUGGGACUUCUCUCAAAUUCCAAACUGAGCAAGUAAGAGUCAAUUCGAGCAUACCAGGCUCGAGGAGCCUGUUUCAGGCCAUAUAAAGCCUUUUUCAGUCUGUACACCAUGUGUUCUUUGCCAGUGAUCACAAAUCCUUGAGGCUGCUCGAUGUAGAUCUCUUCUUUCAGGAAACCAUUGAGAAAUGCAGACUUAACAUCAAGCUGAUGAAUGAUCCACUGAUGUUGAGCAGCCAAAGCAACUAUCAUUCUGACUGUGUCAAGCCUGGCUACUGGUGCAAAUGUCUCCAGGUAGUCCAGACCAUACCUUUGGCUAAAUCCUUUGACAACAAGCCUGGCUUUUAGCUUGUUCAGACUGCCAUCUGCAUUCUGUUUUACUCGAUAGACCCAUUUUACUCCAAUGGUCUUCUUUCCAGCAGGUUUAUCAACUAGCUCCCAUGUCUGGUUCUUUUCAAUCAUGUUGAUUUCAUUGACCAUAGCUAGUUUCCAGCCUUCAUCUGCCUCAGCCUCUUCAAAACUGCUAGGUUCUGCUAUUGCAACCUGUGCCCUUUCAUAAACAUCAUCUAGGGGCCUUGUGCCUCUCACAGGCACAUCAUCAACAUCUAUUUCAGGUCCUAGCUGCUCAGGUUCAGCUUGAUUAGGCACUAGGUCUUCUGAAACUGCUUCUGGCUCAUUUUUCUCCCAAUUCCAGCAGGCUUUUUCAUCAAAGAUGACAUCUCUGCUCACCUGGACUUUGUUUGUCAAGGGAUCCAGAACCCUGUAGCCCUUCUUGACUGAGCUGUAGCCUACUAGAACACCUGGUUGAGCCCUUUUGGAGAGCUUGUCUCUCUUUGCUGCUGGUAUUUGUGCAUAACACAGGCAACCAAACACCUUCAGAUGUGCCAAGGAAGGUUUGAAACUGAGCCAAGCCUCGAAAGGUGUCUCGGAUGCAAGAGCUUUAGUAGGAAGCCUGUUCUGAAGGUAAACAGCAGUGUUUACUGCCUCAGCCCACAUAGUUUUGGGCAGUUCCUUCUCAAACAGCAGACAUCUGGCCAUAUCCAUCAGACUUCUAUUCUUUCUUUCAGCUACCCCAUUCUGCUGAGGUGUGUAGACAUUUGUAAGCUGAUGUUUGAUACCAGCAUCAUUGCAAAUGGCUUGAAACUGAGCUGAAGUGUACUCAGUGCCAUUGUCAGUCCUUAUCGAUUUCAGCUUGCAACCUGUUUCUGUUUCUACAGCAUUUUUAAACUUCACAAACACUUGAGCUACCUCAGACUUGUGUUUUAAAAAGAAAAUCCAGCAAAACCUUGUAAGAUCAUCAAUAAAGAGGAUGAAAUACAUGUUUUUGCUGAGUGAUUCAGUCCUCAUCGGGCCACAUACAUCAGAGUGCACCAGCUGCAGUCUUUCAGUAGCUCUCCAAGCUGAAUUUGUAGGAAAUGGCAAUCUUACCUGUUUCCCCAUUUGGCAAACUUCACACACAUCAUCAUGCUCCACUGAGCUGAUGAAGUUCUCUGCCAAGCCCCCUUUGGCCAAUCGAGCCAUUGAUCUGAAGUUAGCAUGUCCAAGCCUUUGAUGCCAAAGCUUGGAGUCUUCAACAGAGGCUGUGUAUGCUGAGUUUGAGUCAUUUGCCCAGUGAACCUCAAAGCAUUUAUCAGUCAUUGUGACUGUCAUAAGGCUUGAUCCACUUGGAUCAGUAAUGUGGCAUUGUUUAUCCUUGAACACAAUAGAAUAACCUUUCUCGAGCAGUUGAGCUAUGCUGAGAAGGUUUCUGUCAAUUUGUGGUACCAACAGCACAUUUGGAAUGAUCUUGUUGCCUGUGGGAGUACAUAUCAGCACUUCUCCUCUUCCUUCAGCCCUUAUAAACUGACCAUUUCCAACCUUGACCUUGGUUUUAUAACUUCUGUCCAAGGUUUUAAACAAGGAGGCAUCUGGUGACAUGUGGUUAGUGCAACCACUGUCUAGCAACCAGCCUUUGGAGCAUUUCUUCUCAGAAGCUACACAGGAAACAGCAAAGACCUAUUCUUCUUGGUCACUACUGUCCUCAGCUACUCGAGCUUCAACCUUUGACUGCUGAAAUUAAUUCUGCCUUGGCUUACUUCUGUUUUUGCAGACCCUUUCAACAUGGCCCUUCUUCUUGCAGUGUUGACAUACUGCAUCUGGCAUAAACCAGCAUCUGUCUUCUGGAUGGCCAGGCUUCUUGCAAUAUCUGCAGGGCUGGUCAUUGCUUCUUGCAACAUCAGGCUUAGGCCUGUUUUUCCAAGGCUUUUUGCCUCUUUGAGCAUUAAUGCUCGAGGUUUCUCUGGCCUUGGCUUGAAAUGCACCUUCUUGGUGAUCUUCAGCUCUACUAGCUCUCCUUUGUUCCUGAGCAUAGAAGGUGUUGAUUAACUCAGUCAAAGAGAUGCUAGCAAGGUCUCUUGAGUCCUCUAGGGAGGAUAUCUUGGCCUCAUAUCUCUCAGGCAAAGUGGAGAGAACUUUCUCCACAAUUCUUGCCUCAUCAAAGUGCUUACCUAGGAGCCUUAUACUGUUAACCACUGCCAUAAUUCUAUCUGAGUACUGCUUCACUGUUUCUUCUUCCUUCAUCUUCAAAUUCUCGAAAUCCCUUCUCAAGUUUAACAGCUGCUGUUGCCUUGUUCUCUCAGUACCUUGAAACUCCUCCUUAAGCUUAUCCCAGGCCUGUUUUGGAGUCUCACAGGCCAUGAUUCUGGUGAAGAUGACAUCUGACACACAGUUCUGGAUGCAGGACAUGGCUUUGUGCCUUUUGGUCCUCUCAUCAGCAUGUUGCCUCAUCUGAGCUACUGUGGGAUUAGCCCUCAGUGGUGCUGGCUCAGUAUCUGUGUUGACAACUUCCCACAGAUCGAAGGCCUGUAGGUAAGUCUUCAUCUUGACCAGCCAUAUGUGAAAGCCUUCUCCAUUGAAGACUGGUGGGGCUGCUGGUGAAAAUCCUGAAGAAGCCAUCAAGUUCCUUGUUUUGAAGCAACAGGUCCACUAAGACAAGAGCUCUCGAUACCAAUUGUUGGUGCAAGAGGCAGCAACAAACUGUUUCUAGUCUUGCUUGAGUAGUAAGUCUCGAGCCUUGGUGAAGAAGCAAGCUCGGAAGCAGAAAACAGAAAGAUGAAACUAGCAAGCGAAAAAAAAACAGAAAGAGAGAAGAAGAUUGAAUGAAAAAGAGCUGAUAUCUUUCAUUGACAUUACAACAAGGCAUUAAGCCAUUACAUAUAUUAGUCAAUAAGUAAAACAAACAAGUAAUCACCUAAUCAACUACCUAACUCCACUAAUUUGCAUUGAAACUUACAAGAUUAGCUUGUACAACUUGCAUUGCUGACUUUUCAGUCAAUCAAUAUCAAAACAUUUACCUACUUAGUUCAACAUGAACUAGAUUACAAAACAAUCAAAAUGAAACUAAAACAGCAAAUAGAUUGGCAGCUUCAAACUUUAAUUGCUGCACACCAUGGCACCACUGCUUGCUGCAAUUCCAGGAGCAUGACCACCUUUGUAUGUCGUGUAUGGCCACCUUUGCAUGGGAACUAAACUUAACAGUAAGCUCACUAGCAGUUUCAUACUCCAUGUUCAUUACUUGAGAUUACCUAUAAAAUGCCUUUUGAAAUAGCUAAUAUUCUCUCCUUCCUUUUAAAUUUAUGAGAAAGGAAAUGGAAAUUAUAUUCAUUUUGUAGUCUAGUUCUUACUAAUUGAAAACUCUUUGAUUGAUGUUUAAUAUAUUCGUUGCCAUCCAGGACACUUUCCCUGUAUUAGAAGAACUAACAGUGAAGACGAAUGAUAUGGUGAAGGGGAUAUGCGAUGGACAACUCUCAUUGCAGUGUUUCCAAAACCUUAAACUUCUUAACCUCCAAUUCUUUCCUGAGGCAUCCACUACUCUUCCAUAUUCCUUCAUUCGGUCACUACCAAUGCUUCAUAAGCUUGUUAUAGUCAAUGCUUCCAUUUGUCAAAUAGUACAAUCUGAAUGACUCAGCAACCAGGAAAGGCAUACAUCAGCAUUCUAUCAUCUAAAGGAAUUAAGUUUGUCCCAACUUCCAGAGUUAACGUUAAAGACUUUUGAACCAUUUUUGCUGUCUUUCAAAAAUCUAACAACACUGGAAGUUUCAAGAUGCCAUGGGUUCAUCAACUUAAUCGCAUGCUCAACAGCUAAGUGCCUGACGCUUCUGGAAAGAUUGAGCAUAGAUGAUUGUGAGAUGAUAGAGGAAAUCAUAGCGUGUGAGGCUGAAGAAAUACAAGGCGGCAUUGUAUUUCCCAAACUGAAGUGUUUGCAACUAAGCUGUCUGCCAUGUCUAGCAAGCUUUUCCUUUGCCCAUCACUCGUUGGAAUUCCCAGUCUUGCUAAUGGUGAAGGUGACAAGGUGCCCCAAAAUGAGGAAUUUCUGCCAAGGAGAUUUAAGCGCACCAAGGCUGGAACAAAUGCACUUAACAAGAGAUGAGGAAGGUGAACUGCAGUGGGAAGGCGACCUUAACACUACCAUAGAACAUAUGUUCGAUGAAAUGGUACAAAUCAUGUACAGGAUUUAAAUUCAUGUGUUUCUACAUACAUACAUACAUAGUUAAUUGAACAAUUCUUGGUUUUUUAUGAUCAUGCACAGAAUGCGCAAAAUUCUGAGGUGACGGAGGUUGCUGAUCAGUUGCCCAAGUUGGAAUAAGGAAAUAUGUUUGGAUGCUUAUGCGGAAAGCUCAAUUUCGUUUGAAUUCAAAACAAAUGGUAAUUGACUCUUCUAUUUUCAUCAUGGCUUAACUAAUGCUUUAUAAAGUGACCAUAGAGACGCCCUUUUCAUUGUAGGUUGAGUUGCUCUACUGAAGCACCUGGCUGCAACUGUUCCCUUUCACAUCCAAACCUCAAUAUUGAAUUUCAAGUGCAUCAUGCAUGGCAUUGGGAACUACAAACAUGUAAGCUUUUACUAUUAAGCAAAAAAAAAAAAUCAUAUAUUAGAGUAUGAAAGUAAACAUAUUAGACCAUACUUUUUGGUUUCACAAUUUAAAUGAUUUGAGUUAAUUUGAAGCAAUAAAAAAAAGAUAAAUUCAAUUAUUAAUUAUGAUAUUUGAAAAGUUUUCAAUAAUAAUAAAUAAAUGAUUAAUGAAGUAAUUAAGAUUAUGAGGCAACGCGCUUAAUUAAGAGGAGUAUUUGUAAAUAUUAGUAAAAUUUACGGUAAUUAUUGUAUGGAAAAAGCAAAUUUAAUGUAACUGUUUUGAAUUUUAUUUCAAUUAAAUGGGAAUUGAAUUAUCUGCAAAUCAAUAUAUUAAAAAAUAAUAAUUUAAAUUUGGGAAGAUUUACUAGUAAUAAUGCUAUCUAUUGAUAAUAAAUAUUAUAAUCAAAAUAAUAUUUUCGUGGUAAGCUUAGCUAUCCUUUACCGUCAACAUCCUUUACGGGUUGCUUAUAGUAUAUAUAGAUGAAGCUUUAGUUCAACACUAAUCUUAAUUUAAUAUUUUGAUUAUACAUAUAGACACAUUAAAAUUCUUUUUUAAGUUUUAUACGUCAGAAAUAUUUUUAUUUUGAAUAGUCAACUUACAAUUUUAGUCCAUUUAGUAUAUUGGAAUUUGAGAUUUAAUCACCUUAGGUACAAAUAUAUUUCGUCUACCAAUAUGAUUAUGCAUUAUAAUAGUUGGUUUUGAUUAUAAUUUGAUGGUUGGUGGUUAUUGGAGCUUCAUUUGGUCAACUCUCAAGCUCAAGUGUUGCUUGAGUCUGCUGAUCUACAGGUUGCUGUCUUUCAUCUUCAAUUUUAGUGUCAACAAAGGUUUGAGAAGGUUGAUGGUCAUCCCAAUUCGAAGUGUCCGACCAAAUCCAUGAACACUUUUAUAUAAAAAGAAUAUAGUCGAAUUGGCGUAGUUUAGUUCCACAAGUUCAAACUUCAAAUUAAUACGAGUGUAUUAUUAAAAGUUUUCGUCUUCUGCAUUACUUGUUAGUUUAUGUCUUUUAAUUCAUUGAGAAGUAACAAGCAUGUAUGGAUGUCAAUGUCCUACCAUAAUUGUCUUCUAAAUAACUUUACAAGGGAGGCUAUGCCACUCUAUUCUUUAAUUAUUACUUCAACAAAUUUUGCAAAUUCUUAAAUUUCUAGGCAAGUUCCCACGGCCUUGUAUGGUAAUACUCUUAUCGAAUAUAAAGCCUUGCUUAAAUGAAGAUAUUCAUAAAUAAGAGGAAAAAUAUCAAAUAAUGCAAGUUCACCUAUGCCUGGUCACUGUGACCCCUUUUGUGAGGAGGUACCUCUUCUCCUAAAGUUUUACAAGGCUAUUUUGUCAAGUUCCUUAGAAAGACUUGUCUCACGCCCCUAAGUAUUCUUUACCUACCCACUUGUGUCAGUUUUGGGUAUAAGUAACUUUUUUUGAAGGUCGUUCAAGCUUUUCCUGGAAGUAUAGCAUGAGUUACUUUAAUACCAUAGCGCCUAGUACUUGAACAUUGAGUUGGAACAUUUUCUCUACCCCUUCUUAUCCUGAAAAUGUAAAAAAUAGUAGAGUCACCUUGCAUCCAUGAACCAAUAACCAUUUCGGCUAACCUAGCUAUGCAUCAUAUAAUUAAAAAGGAAUCUACUCAGUGUUUGAAUUUUUGUUGAUUGGAAUAUAUUAUGUUAUAUAAACAACAAUGAAGGUGCAUAUGAUUUCUAAGAAUAUUUUAUAGUUUCAUGAAAUAAUAAUUUUUACUAUUACCAAAAAAAAUAUUAUAAUUUUGACUUCCAAUUACAAUUUCAUAAAAUAAUAAUUUAUCAAUUCAAAAUAUUUGAAUCAAAAUUAAUUUGGAGCUCCUCACUCAGGCUUCUACUUUUGUGCCUUAAUACUUCAGUGGCAGCACUUCCCCCUUGCCUUAAUUGUUGAAAAAUUUCCCUUAAAAAUUUGAAUAAAAAUUUGAAUAAAAAUUGUACCUUUCAUUUCCUUCCCUCAAACAAGUUGUUCAUUGUUGCUCCCACCCUUCAGUCUUCUCCAAAAUAAUGUAGGAAUCCCAAGUCACUAUAAUUAGGUGAUGAAGAUGGUACUCAUUUUUUUUGGGGGGGGGAAUUAUCAAGAAAUUCAUCGCUGGUAACAAUGAGUAAAAUUUUCGUUGCGAAUUCUUGUGAGAGCUUAUGUAAGAGUUUGGUGUAGUUCAAUAAUUAUUUUAUAAUAUUUUGAAGUUAAAAAACUGAAAUGUAAAUUAGUUAAUAGUUUAGAGACUUUAGGCGUGGUUUACCCAAAAACAUAUCAAUAUAAUCCCCCAAUGGAGUCCGAAGCCAUAGCUCACAAUUUGGGUUAACAUUUGACAUUUGGGGUUUCAAAUUGAGAAUUAAUUGAAAUAGAUAACAAUUAGCAAUUAAAUAAACAAAUUAUAUUCCAUAUACUGUAGUAUUGAAUAUAUGUUUACUUCAUUAAAGGUCUCUUUUUUAUUCAAUUAAUUUCUUGUGUUUUUACAUGCAUACAUAGUUAAUUGAACAAUUCUUGGCUUCUUAUGAUCAUGCACAGACUGUGCAAAAUUCUCAGAUGACGGAGGUUACUGAUCAGUUGCCCAAGCUGGAAUAAGGAAAUAUGGUUGGGUGCUUAUGUUAAAAGCUCAAUUUCGUUUGAAUUCAAAAUAAAUGGUAAUUGACUCUCCUAUUUUCAUCAUGGUUUAACUAAUGCUUUUUAAAGUGACCACAGAGACGCCCUUUUCAUUGUAGGUUGAGUUGCUCUACUGAAGCACAUGACUGCAUCUAUUGGUAGAACGUGAAAGGUUAUUUCAGUUUUUGUAAAACUACAAUUUGAACUGUUCCAUUUCACAUCAUAACCUCAAUAUUGAAUUUCAUAAAGUGCAUCAUGCAUGGCAUUGGGAACUACAAACAUGCAAACUUUUACUAGUAAGGUUAACCCCUGUUUUAAUAUUCCAAUUCUUCUUAAAGGUGGAUGGAUUUGCCAACUUUUGAUGGUUACCAUAUCAACGUCAGCUUGGGGUUUAGACGAUGUGAUUAAGAUUGCUAUACAUACUGUGUUUGUGCUUGUGUCAUCUUUCUUGUUCUCUCUAUAAAGAUUAUUAUGUACUUAUUUCUAUGUAAUCUCACAGUUUUCUGAUGAAAAGUUGAAGCUAAUAACUCCAUUCCCAAGUUUCCCAUAUUCAUCGUCACAAAAACAUAAAUGAUAAAAACCCCAUUUCUCUUUUAGUCAAUAGGAGAAACAAUCUAAAGCUAGAAUAAAGCAAACCAAUGCCAUGCCUAUAUUGAAUUAAAUCGCAUGCAUAUAUUGAAUUAAAUCGCAUGCAUGCAUGUAUCAAUUGUUCUGUAGUGAACAACAAUCACGUUAUAUUCAACCAUGGCAUCUCCAUUCUUAUUAAACCAAGCUACAAUGUAGCCUGAUGACUUGCAUGGCUGUAGGGUGUAAUAGUAAAAUAUUGAUAAUGCCAUAGUAAAAUAUUGAUAACAUGUGCUAUCACGUGAUUAUUCUUAUAUUUAAAUAUAAUAAGUUCAUUUAAUAAUUUUUAUAAUAAAUAUAAUAAUUCAAAUAAUAUGGAUUAAGCGAAAUUUUAAACAAUUAAAUUUAAUCUGAUUAUAAAAAGUCGACAACUCAAACUUGUUCAAUUCGGAUUCAAAUGAACUUGAAAGGAAUUUAUUGAAAAAUUCAAGCUUCAAACUCAAGUGAUUUGAAACUGAACAUAAAAUGAUUACUUGGAUGUGAAAAUGUUAAAGUUGGCAUGCAUGCAGCACAUACAGCACAUGAAGCAGCCAAGAAGUAGAACAAGCUGUAAAGCCAUACUUAUGCUGGCUAAAGUUCAAGCUGCUGUGUUACUUCAAGCACUAGUUUAGUUUUUUAGUUCAAAAUGAACUAAGUUGGUAUAGCUUUUAAUGUAAUUAGGUGCUGACAGAUUGAUAAAUCAGUUUACCUAUGUGUGCAAGUAAUGUUUUCAUAAAUUCCAAUGUAAUUUAGUGGUGUUAGGUGGAUGUUUAGGUGAUGUAGUUGACUAUAUAUGUAUUGUUUUUCUUAUUGAAAAAUUGAGCUAAAUGAGAGGAAGCCAUAGCUCCCUCGAGCCUGGUAUGCUCGAAUUGACUCAUACCUGGUCAGUUUGGGAUUUGAAAGGAGUGCUAGUGAGCCAACACUCUAUGUUAAGAGGAAUGGAGCUGAAACACAGCUUAUUGUGUCACUGUAUGUUGAUGAUCUUCUAGUGACUGGAGGAGACAAGUUUAUGUUGGCUGAUUUCAAAACAAAAAUGAAGGAAAUGUUUGAGAUGUCAGACCUGGGAUUGAUGACAUAUUUCCUAGGAAUGGAAGUCAAUCAAGUAGAAGGAGGAAUCCUCUUGAAACAAAAGACAUUUGCCUUGAAAGUGCUGGCUAAAUUCUCAAUGGAGAAUUGUAAACCAAUGAGCACACCAAUGGCUAUUGGCAUGAAGUUAUCGAGCCAAGAGGAACAUGAAUCUGUCUGUGAAACAGAUUAUAGAAGCCUUAUUGGCUGUUUGUUGUAUUUGACAGCAACAAGACCUGAUAUUCUAUUUGCUGUGAGCAUGCUGUCACGAUUCAUGCAUUGCUGUAAUCAGCAGCAUUAUAAAGCAGGAAAAAGGGUUCUGAGGUAUAUCAAAGGUACCUUGAACCAUGGUAUAUGUUUCAAAAGGGUCAAGGAGUUGAAAUUGAUUGGCUAUACAGACAGCGAUUGGGCUGGUUCAAAAGAUGACAUGAAGAGCACCUCUGGUUAUGCUUUUACACUUGGCUCUGCAAUGAUUUGUUGGAGCUCAAGAAAACAAACAAUGGUGGCUCAGUCAACAGCUGAAGCUGAGUAUGUAGCAGCUGCUAGUGCUGUUAAUCAAGCUGUGUGGCUGAGAAAAAUUUUGAGUGAUUUAAACCUACAGCAGAAUGAAGCAACUGUGAUACAUUGUGACAACAAGUCAGCAGUUGCUAUUGCCAAAAAUCCUGUCUUCCAUGGUAGGACAAAACACUUCGAUAUUAAACUGCAUGUGAUAAGGGAGAUGGAACAAGCUCGAGAAAUUGAGCUGAUUCAUUGCAGCUCUGAAAAUCAGAUUGCUGAUAUCUUCACAAAGUCUCUUGGUGUAUCAAGAUUUCUAAGCCUAAAGAGGGAACUAGGAGUCUGCUGCAUAGAAGCUGAGGAGGAGUGUUGAAGUCAGCUCCCAUGUAGCAGCAAAGGUGGCCAUGCAGAGAACGUGCUUCAACAGUAAAUUGGUGCAGCAAACUGAAGCUAUUCAUUUAGUUUCUUUAAAUGAAUGUUUUGUAUUUAGUAAGGAUCAAACUUAGUUGGUAGCUGCAUUUUGAUGUAACUAAGUGAUGAAUGACAAGUUUAGGUAGCUGUUUAUGUAUUCAAACAAGUUUACCAAGUUACUAGGCAAAUUAGUGGUGUUAGGUGGAUGUUUAGGUGAUGUAGUUGACUAUAUAUAUAUUGUUUUUCUUAUUGAAAAAUUGAGCUGAAUGAGCUAUCAGCCAUUAGCUCCCUUGCUGCACAUUUGUGAGCAAGUAAAAAUGCUUCUUGCACCUUGCUUCAUGUUCUGUGCUCUUGUUCUCUCUUUUGUUGCUGCCUCUUGCACCAACAAUUGGUAUCAUGAGCCUAUGUCUUACGGGACCAUUGAUUUUGCUUCCCCUUCUUGUUGAAAAGAAAGAAGCUGUCAAAGCACAAGCAAGUCAUUAAGGACUGCUUGUAGAGAAGAUAAUAUCGGCUCAAACUUAUAAGAUCCCCAAACUAGCUUGAAUAGCUGAAGGAGGAGUUUCAAGGAAAGAAUGUGAGCUUUCCAAUAUGCAAGCUGCAAGCUCAAUAAAAAUGUGCAAGCUGCAAGCUUAGCAAGAUGUCAAAGCUGCAAGCUUAGCGAGAAGUGCAAGCUAUGAGCUCAUCAAAAGCUGCGAGCCCUGUAUAGUUGCGAGCCAAGACACCUUAAGAGACAGUAAGCAAAAAUGCGAGCCUGUCAAAGGUGCAAGCUCAGCCUAGUGCGAGCAGCAAAGUUGAAGACACCUUAAGAGACAGUAAGCAAAAAAUGUGAGCCUGUCAAAGGUGCAAGCUCAGCCUGGUGCGAGCAACAAAGUGCAAACCUGUCGGAUUGCAAGCCAAAAAUGGCAGACUGAAGGCAAGCAAACUAUACUCGCAAGUUGUAUAUGCAAGAAGAAACAGAACUGUAAUGAACAAAGGAACAAGGUAAGAUGUGUUUAAAGGCAAGUUAUUUUUGUCGGAUGAAGUAUGAAGUGCUUGUGCAGGUUCAACUUUAAACAAAGCAUAUAAGGACUGCCAAGUUCAAAAGCAGACCAGUAGUGUUGAAAAUGGCCAAACAUGCUGCUGUUAUAUUUUUGGCUAAGUGCAUGCAGCUUCUAAACAUGCUGCAGCACGUAUGCUUGUUGUAACAGCAAGGUUCACUGAUUUGCAAGCUAAGCUAGGAGUAUGCAGCAUGCAAGCCAAGGAGGAGUGUUAAAGUUGGCAUGCAUGCAGCACAUACAGCACAUGAAGCAGCCAAGAAGUAGAACAAGCUGCAAAGCCAUACUUAUGCUGGCUAAAGUUCAAGCUGCUGUGUUACUUCAAGCACUAGUUUAGUUUUUUAGUUCAAAAUGAACUAAGUUGGUAUAGCUUUUAAUGUAAUUAGGUGCUGACAGAUUGAUAAAUCAGUUUACCUAUGUGUGCAAGUAAUGUUUUCAUAAAUUCCAAUGUAACUUAGUGGUGUUAGGUGGAUGUUUAGGUGAUGUAGUUGACUAUAUAUGUAUUGUUUUUCUUAUUGAAAAAUUGAGCUGAAUGAGCUAUCAGCCAUUAGCUCCCUUUCUGCACAUUUGUGAGCAAGUAAAAAUGCUUCUUGCACCUUGCUUCAUGUUCUGUGCUCUUGUUCUCUCUUUUGUUGCUGCCUCUUGCACCAACAGAAAAUGAUUUGAAUCGAAAUGGUGUGGAGUAUGGUCUUUCGGAUCAUUGCCUCAUUGUGCUGUCAAAUGAAUCUAAAGAUUGGGGCCCCAAACCAUUCAAAUUCCAGGACUGUUGGAUGCAAGCUAAAGAGUUAGAUCGACUUAUUGAUGAUCGAUGGAAGGAAAUGGAGGUUCAUGGCGAGGCAAAUCAGACCUUGAGAAUGAAAUUAAGUCGUUUAAAAUGUUCUCUGAAGAAGUGGAACAAAAUUUCUUUUGGUAAUUUGGAUCAUAGAAUCCGCUUGAUAGAAAAUGAAGUGGAGGAUGUUGAUAAAAGAGGCGACAUUUCCGUCAUGACCGAGGAGGAUGUCAACCGUGGAAAAAAGACUACGGGUGAAUUAUGGAAACUUAACCGUUCUCGAGAAAUCUUAUGGAGACAAAAAUGUAAAGUGGAUUGGGAAAGGCGACCGUAAUACAAGUUUCUUCCAGUGCAAAGCCAAAUUCAGGGCUAGGAGUAAUUGCAUUGAAGGUCUGUUUGUGAAGGGGGAGCGGAUUUCUUGUCCGAAAUUAGUCAAAAAUGCAAUUUGGAAAUAUUUCCGGAAUUAGUUCUGUGGCGUUCAUUGGGACAAACCUGUUUUAAGGGGUUUGGAUUUUAAGAUAUCUUUGCCUCUUCCCAAUGGUCUCAAAGCAUGUUUUGGUGUUUGAGUCUGAUUCAAUAGUUGCGUUAACAGGCCUGCACCCUAUGUGGCUUGGCUGUUGUUUAUUGCACCUUUGAACUUCAAAAUAAUUUCAACUCGUUCUUUCUAAAUUAAAUUGAUUCGAACUCCAAAAUAAUUUGAGUGAUAAACCCGAAAUGAUUUUAUUAGAAAAUUCAAACUUCAAAAUUGACUUUAAUAUAAAAUUGAACUUAAAAUAUUUGACUUUAAUACAAAAUUGAUUUGAAUCGAAAUGAUUUUAAAAUUUUUAAUUUUGAAUAAUCUGAUCUAGAUAAAAAACCAACUCUAGUUAUAGCCCAAGACCCAUCACAAACAUAGAAAAAAUAGUUUGAGAACAUAUAAGGCAACUCGUAGGUAUGGUGUAUAUGUAAUUGGAUAAUUACUCUCCCUAAAAGAUAUGUCGCAAAUAUAUAUCUAGGAUUCUUUUUCUUCUUUGAGGUGGAAUUAAUGAUUUUGAUUAUGUGUCCAUAAAUGACUCAGAGUUCGGAGUCAUAGGUGAUAAAAGGCUCUGGUGUUUAACAAUCAACUAAGCUCAACCAGAGCUUGGUAAUCAGCUAGAUGAGCAGAGUAAGCGAUAUCAAACAUUAAGCGUAUAAUUUCAGAUUCUUUGGACUCCAGCCGAGCUAAAGCUAACGUAAAGGAAAGCUAUCUUAUCAAACGGCUCGAUACAUUUGCCAAAGUAUAAUUUGGAAUUGUUUUGGACUAUUCUGAGGAGCUUGGGUGAUGUUGGCCUUUCAUAACAAAUAUAAAUUUUCCAUAGUUUAAGUGCAUUUGUCCUUUUGUUUCUGUAGCAUGCGAUCUGGGGAGAAUCCGUGUUGAUACAUCAAAUCAACGGAAGUGAGUAUGGAAGGAAGUGAAUUCUAAGAGAACACACCAAAGCUAUUGAUUUGACGAAAAAAUAAAAAAUAUUGUAUAAUUAUAAUAGAAAUAAUCCGAGUCAAAAUCUGACUCAGGAUCCGACCCUAUAUAAUAAAAUUCUACAAAAAUCCCAGAAAAAAGAAAAAAAGGAUCUUCUUCUUCUUUACAGUUGGACUAGUAUUCUCUUUUCUCCAUCUCCACAUCCGUUGAUCCAAUGAAUCAACAAUCAGCAAUAUUUUGGACUGUAUAUUUUAAUUUAUAUUGUAUUAAUUAGUUCAAAUGAUUAAUAUAAUUUGAAAGCAUAUUUUUAAAUCUAAAAAGUAAAAGGGCUAAAUUCUUGAAAGUAAAAAUAGAGAAUUAAGUUUCAAAUGUACAAAAUAAGACCUUCGAGUGUAUUUUAACCUUCAAUUUUUUACUUUAUAAUUUGAUACAAAUAAAUAAUCAAUUCAAUGCCGAACAUGAAUGGACUAUACUAAUUAUUGUAAUAAUUAAUUUUUUUAAUGUCAUUCGUGCAAUUAAAUAACAACGAUAAAGGCUAAUCUUUUUCACAACAUGCCUACUUCCUCAUUUAAUAAGUGAUUUUAAUUUUUAUAUAAUUCUUCAUUCAACUUAAUGUAGUUCAAAGUUAAUUAUAGGGGUGAAACCAGAAAUUUUUUUUUGGGGGGAUCAGGAUUAAAUUGUAUAUUUUUACAAUAGUAAAAAUACAAAUUUAUCAUUUUAGUAGCCUAUAUCUUUAUAAUUUUUAAAGGAUUAACCAAAAUUUUAUUACUUGAGGGUUAAAAUAUAAUUUUACUAUUACUAAUUUAAAAAAUUUUAAUUAUAAAAGGAUUUAAAUGAAUUUUUUUUCAUUUUAAGAGGGCUGACACUGGUAAUUAUAAUAUGAACCAUAUUGUAACAUAUUAAUUGAGUAUUUAUCUAUCCAAAAAAAUAAUUUGGAUUCAAAUAAUGUUUUGUUACCUAUGAGGUUAUACAUUAUUUUUCAAUAAUUGAUUGUUUUUUUUUUUUGGUUUUGGGUAACAUUUUCCCUAUGUAUUCAUAUAAUUGCCAUUACUUACCUCGUUUUUUCUUACCCUUUAUUUGCUAAUAAAACAUAACGUUUACAUUGGGACCAUAAUUUCAUGAAGAGAGGGAAAAGACUUUGCCAUUCCCUAAUAUCCUUGUCUAAGCAAACGAGUUCAUAUCUGUCUCUCUUCGAAUUAGGGUUAUCUCCUAUUUGAAUAAGUUAAAUUUUGAGAUUUUGAAUUUGGAUAAUUUCGAGCUCAUACUGUAUCAGUUUAAAAUAAGGGUUUAGACUAAUUAAUUUGCGAAUCGGUUGAACUAAUUUUUUAUAAUUUAUUCAUUUGAACCGGUCAAACUGAUUGAACUAAGGAGAGGUGGUUUCUAUUACACACGAUCAGAGGCAUUCAUGGGUUGGCUCAAGUUCGGUUCUGACCUAAGCAUGAUAUUAAUGUAUUUUAUGCUUGUCCAAGCCCGACUCGACCCAAAAUCUAGCCCUAAAAUUUUGUCCAAAUCCGUCCAUAUUUGCAAAAGACUAAUCCAAGCUCGUUUUAUGCCAGCUCAUAUUAUUUUUAAUUUUUUUAAAAAUAUAUUUAUAUUUUUUUAUUUUAAUAUUUAAUAAUUUUAUACCUUUUUUAUUUAUUGAAAAUUUUUAUAUAAUUAAUUUAACAUUUCUUUAAUGUUUACAUUACAAUAGUAUUAUAUAUUUAGUAUAUGUUUAAUUUUUUAAUGUGUUCUAAGUUACAUAAUAUAUAAAAAUAAUAUAAUAUAAAGUAUUAUAAACUUAAAAUGAGUCGAGCUGAGUUCAGACCUUGAAUAUUCAAGUCUAAGCCCGACCCAUUUUAAUAGUAAUAAAAAAGAUAAAAAUUAUUAAUAUACAAUAAUCAGGAUGAAUAAUUUUUAUAUAAUCGUUAUUGAUGGGAAUAUAUGUUAAAUAAAAUAUAGAUUAGCUAUUAAAUGUAAAAUGGCAAAAGAAUAAAUUAUAAAGUGUGCACAUAAGGUUGAUUUUGUAAAACUAAAAAUUACCAUUUUUUUUUUACAUAUUUGUCAACUAUUAUACAGUUUUAUAAUUAAAAAAUAAAAAAAUGUAGUAAAAAAAUGUAGUAAAUUUGAUGUUUAAAGUUAUAAAUUAAAUUGGUAAUAUAUAAGAGUUAUUUUUAUUUGUGUUUUUAGAGAAUUGAAGGAAUAAAUUUUUAAUAUUAACCAUAAAUUUGUAAAUAAUAUCUUCAAAAUUUAAAUUUAUAAUAGUGAAAUAAUGUCAAACAUGCAAUUAAUUACAUUUAUUUUAUUUUUUGAUUUUUUAUUAAAUAUAGUCAACAUUAUAUUUGAAAAUCAAUAUUACAUAUUGAGAAUUAAUUAUUAUGAAACGUGGAAUGAAAACCAUUUAGUUUUUUUUUUAGUUUUUCUUGAACUAAAAUGCAACUAAUAAAAAUAAAUGAUAUUUUAAUUUAAUAGAAGUAAAUUAAUUAAUAUAUUUAAUUUAAAAAAUGUUCAAGGUGUAAUUACUGUAUGAAUAAUUAAAUUUAAAAUUUAUUAAAGAUAUUUAUACGUGUCUUUUUUUUUAUAAUUAUUAAUGACAUGCAUAUAAAUUAAUCAAUAGAGUCGUCUCUUAAAGAUGAUAUUUACAAUGAUGGAGUCAGAAAUUUUUUUUGAGGUGCUAGAAUUAAAUUGUAUAUUGUUACAAUAGUAAAAAUAUAAUUUCACCAUUUUAAUUGUUUAUAUCUUUAUAAUAUUUAAAGUAUUAAAUCAAAAUUUUAUCAUUUUGAAGAUGAGUAAAAUAUAAUUUUACCAUUACUAAUUUAAAAUUUUAUAAAUUAUAAAAUUUUAAAUAAAAAAUUUCUAUUUUAAAAAUACUGGGGCUAGCCCCUCAACUCCGCCACCUGAUAUUUAAGCCUUGAAAUCAUCCUUCCUUAUUUCAUGCAUGUCUUUUUCUACUUUGGUUGUGGUGUGCUUUCUUUGAUUCUAGCCACUCCUUGAAACACUUUGUCUAAAUAUCUAUAUAGAGAUAUUAUAUGAGAAAUAAUUGGUUGAAGAAAGAGAAAACAAUAAUAAUAAUAAUAAAAUUAGUUUGGAAAAUGACCUUACAUGAAAAUACUCAUGCAAUUGGAUCAAACCUUCAAGUGGAGAAAAAGAAAAGAAAAUAAAAGGAAAAAGAAAUACCUUCUUUAUUUAAUACAUGGAUACCUAAUAAUUCAUUUAUUUAAUAAUUUAUUUUGUUUAUCAAAAAAAAAAUUGUUCAUGAAGAAAGAGAAAACAAAAAUAAUAAUAAAAAGAAAUUAAUUUGGAAAAUUACCUUACAUGAAAAUACUCAUGCAAUUGGAUCAACUUAUUCACACAACCUUCAAGAGGAGAAAAAAAGAAAAGAAAAGAAAAAAGGAAUACCUUCUUUAUUUAAUACAUGGAUACCUAAUAAUUCAUUUAUUUAAUAAUUUAUUUUGUUUCUCAAAAAAAAAAUUGAUGAGCUCAUCAUUCAUCUAUGUAUUGAAAUUUUAUGAUGUUAUUUGACUAAUUCAUGGGUUGAGUUUGUAUGUGUUAAGCAAAUAUUCUAUUGUUAUGGACAUGAGCAUGCUUGAUUUUAUUUUCAUGAAAAUAUAUGGUAAGUUUAAUUCUUGUUACAUGAAUUUACUAAGUACUAAGUGCUUGCCUUGUUUCAUUUUUCCUUGCUUUAUAGUGUUCGGAAGCUCAGGAGGUCAGAGAUAGGUCGGAGCCACAUCACACUAUCAACCACUACAUUUUGGUAUAUAGAAAUGUUUCAUUUUGAGUUAAUGGCAUAUAUAAGCUGAAAUAUAUAUAUACACACUAAUGUUAAUGUUGAAGUGUAUGGUUGUAAACCUAGCUAUUGGUAUGGCUAGUGUGAACUUGGUUUUGAAAUGUUGAUAAGUCGAACUAUGAUUAUGCAUAAACACAUACUGUUGAAGAAGGAUCUUCUUCUUCUUUGUGGCUGGACUAGAAUUCUCUCCCCUCCAUCUCCACAUCCGUUGAUCUAAUGAAUCAAUAAUCAACAAUAUUUUGGACGGUAUAUUUUGAUUUAUAAUGUACUAAUUAGUUCAAAUGAUUAAUAUAAUUUGAAAGCAUAUUUUUAAAUCUAAAAAGUAGAAGGGUUAAAUUCUUGAAAGUAAAAAUAGAGAAACUAGGUUUCAAAUGUUUGAAAUAAGACCUUUGGGUAUAUUUUAACCUUCAAUUUUUUACUUUAUAAUUUCAUACAAAUAAAUAAUCAAUCCAACGCAAAACAUGAAUGAACUAUACUAAUUAUUGUAAUAAUUAAUUUUUUAAUGUCCUUCGUGCAAUUGAAUAACAAUGAGGAAGUCUAAUCUUUUUCAGAACAUGCCUACAUCCUCAUUUAAUAAAUGAUUUUAAUUUUUAUAUAAUUCUUCAUUCAGUUCAAAGUUGAUUAUAGAGGUGAAGUCAGAAAACUUUUUUGGGGGCGUAAUUAAAUUGUAUAUUUUUAUGAUAGUAAAAAUACAAAUUUAUCAUUUUAAUAGCCUAUAUCUUUAUAAUUUUUAAAGAAUUACUAUUACUAAUUUAAAAUUUUCUAAUUAUAAAAGAACUUAAAUAAUUUUUUUUCAUUUUAAUGGGAUCGGCACAUGUGAUUAUAAUAUAAAUCAAAUUGUGACCUAUUAAUUGAAUAUUUAUCUAUCCAAAAAAUAAUUUGGAUUCGAAUAUUACCUAUGAGGUUAUACAUUAUUUUUGAGUAAUUGAUUUUUUUUUUUUUUUUUUGGUUUUGGGUAACAUUUUCCCUUGGUAUUCAUAUAAUUGCCUUAUAACUAAUGUGCAUUAUUGUAAAGAAAGUGGAUGUAUUAUGCUUCAAUACUUACCUCGUUUUUUCUUACCCUUUAUUUGCUAAUAAAACACAACGUUUACAUUGGGACCAUUAUUUCAUGAAGAAAGGGAAAAGAGUAAGACUUAUAAAAAUAAUAUAUAGUUAAUUUAACAUUUUUUUUAAUGUUUACAUUAGAGUAGUAUUAUAUAUUUAGUAUGUAUUUUUUUAAUGAGUUCUAAAUUGCAUAAUAUAUAAAAAUAAUAUAAUAUAAAGUAUUAUAAACUUAAAAUAGGUCGAGCCGGGCUCGGACCUUAAAUGUUCAAGCUUGAACCCGACCCAUUUUAAUUAUAAUAAAAAGGUAAAAAUAUUGAUAUAUAAUAAUUAGGAUGAAUAAUUUUUAUAUAAUUGUUAUAUUGAUGGGAAUAUAUGUUAAAUAAAAAAUAGAUUAACUAUUAAAUGUAAAAGGGCAAAAGAAUAAAUUAUAAAGUGUGCACAUAAGGUUGAUAUUGUAAAACUAAAAAUUACCAAUUUUUUUUUACAUAUUUGUCAACUAUUAUACAGUUUUAUAAUUAGAAAAAAAAGGAAUAAAAAAUGUAGUGAAUUUGAUGUUUAAAGUUAUAAUUUAAAUUGGUAAUAUAUAAGAGUUAUUUCUAUUUGUGUUUUUAGAGAAUUGAAGGAAUAAAUUUUUAAUAUUAACCAUAAAUUUGUAAAUAAUAUCUUCAAAUUUUAAAUUUAUAAUAGUGAAAUAAAAUCAAACAUGCAAUUAAUUACUAUUAUUUUUAUUUUUUGUUUUUUUAUUAAAUAUAGUCAACAUUAUAUUUGAAAAUCAAUAUUACAUAUUGAGAAUUAAUUAUUAUGAAACGUGGAAUGAAAACCAUUUAGUUUUGUUUUUUUUUUUUGUUUUUAGUUUUUCUUGAGCUACAACGCAACCAAUAAAAAUAAAUGAUAUUUUAAUUUAAUAAAAGUAAAUUAAUUAAUAUAUUUAAUUUUAAAAAUGUUCAAGGUGUAAUUACUGUAUGAAUAAUUAAUUUUAAAAUUUAUUAAAGAUAUUUAUAAAUGUCUUUUUUUAUAAUUAUUAAUGACAUACAUAUAAAUUAAUCAAUUGUAUCGUUUCUUAAAGAUGAUAUUUACAAUGAUUGAGUCAGAAAAUUUUUUUGAGGGGUUAGAAUUAAAUUUUAUAUUGUUACGAUAGUAAAAAUAUAAUUUCACCAUUUUAAUUGUCUAUAUCUUUAUAAUAUUUAAAUGAUAAAAUCGAAAUUUUAUCAUUUUGGAGAUGAGUAAAAUAUAAUUUUACCAUUACUAAUUUAAAAUUUUAUAAAUUAUAAAAAAUCUAAAUAAAAAAUUUCUAUUUUAGAAAGACUGGGGCAAGGGCGAAGCUAGGGGGUUGGCAUGGGCCCGGCCCCCCUAAAAUGAAAAAUUGCCAUAUAAGCCCUCUAAUUUUUUAAAAAUUUUAAAUUGAUAAAAGUAAAAUUGCACUUUGGCCCCCUAAAAUUAUAAAAAUUUAAUUUAAUCUUUUAAAAAUUAUAAAAAUAUAUACUAUAAAAAAUUAAAAUUUUAUUCAAUCCUCCUAAAAAAAUUAUUCUGAUUUCGCCCUGGACUGAGGCUAGCCCCUCUGCUCUGCCACCUGAUAUUUAAGCCUUGAAAACAUCCUUCCUUAUUUCAUGUAUUUUUCUACUUUGGUUGUGGUGUGCUUUCUUUGAUUCUAGCCACUCCUUGAAACACUUCAUCUAAAUAUCUAUAUAGAGAUAUUAUGUGAGGAAUAAUUGGUUGAAGAAAGAGAAAACAAAAAUAAUAAUAAUAAAAUAAAUUAGUUUGGAAAAUGACCUUACAUGAAAAUACACAUGCAAUUGGAUCAACCCAUUCACACAACCGUCAAGAGGAGAAAAAAAAAUGAAAAGGAAAAAGAAAUACCUUCUUUAUUUAAUACAUGGAUACCUAAUAAUUCAUUUAUUUAAUAAUUUAUUUUAUUUCUCAAAAAAAAAAUUGUUCAUGAAUUAUAUAUAUUUAUUGCUAACAUUUCCCUGAAAAACAAAUGCCUGAAAUUGAAAAAUUGAGAUGGGGUCCAGCUCCAACCCCGCCAUAAGCACGUCCAAAUCUUUGGGACCGUCGGGUUGUCAUUUCUGAGCUGUUUCCUCGAAAUUCAAUCAAAGCUUCCCUUCUUACUUUUAAACUAGAUGAAGUCGUCUUUCUCAAAUUAUUGCGUUCUCGCUUUGCUCUGUUAAGAAAAGACUGAAGGGGGAAAUUUAUCGGUUACGCCAUCUGCUUUUCUUUUCCCUGCUUUGCUCUUACUCUUUUGAAAUACUUAUCGGUAUAAAUAAGCUUAGGCAGGCAGUUUUAACCAUGAAAAUGGACUUCCUUUACGCUUUAAACCUCUACAAAAUUUAAGCCUUUUACUUUAAAUCAUGAAAAUAGAAUUUCUAGCCUUAAUUUGAUCCAGAAAAAAAGAACAUAUUCUGAGUAAAAACCUUAAAAAGGCAGAAGAAGGGGGUGAUUAUAAGGAAAGCUGCAUAAGCACUUGUUAAAUGAAAACUAUAUAUAGUUGGAAAGGUGGUUUAAUAGGCCACUAAAAUUAUUUGAAAAAUCAAUUUAAAAAGACAAAUUAAAUAUACUUUAAGGACUAAAUACUUGGUUUCUACUAAAAAAUAAUUAACAAAAUAUUUGUUUGAACAGGUUGCAUCUUAUUACUAUUGAAAGAGUAAAUAAUAUAUAUAUUUUUAAAAAUUCAAACUUUAUUAUUUUCUAUCUUUUAAAAAUUAUUUUUAUUUUUUUACUUAUUUACUUUUAUUUUUAAUUUUUUUGGAUAUUAAAAACAUCAUAAUUUUUUUUAAAAAAAUUAAGUUUUAGUGAAAAUAUCUAAAAUGUUUAAAUCUUUUCUUUUUUUAUUUUUAUAUGCUUUUAAAAAGUAAAAAUUAAAAGGUUAUUUUUCUUUUUUAUAAUUGCCAUGUCAAUAAUGCUAAUGAUAAAUACUUUUUUAUAGAACUUUUAUUCCAAAAUCAUUAAAAAAUAGGUUAUUUGUCUAUAUACCAAAUAAUCACUCAUAAUUUGUUAUUUAAUCAAAAUAUAAGAAAUAGGUAUAAUUUUAAAUUUUAAAAUAAUUUUUUUAAAAAUAAUUUAAUGGUCAAAAUAAAUUUAAAUUUCAAAUAAUUAGAAAGAUUUAAAUUUUAAAUAAUAAUUAUAAAAUUAUUUUUUAAAAAUAUUAUGCAAAUGAGUUUUUUUUUAAAAUUAAAAGAUAAUUCAAGUUUAAAAUCUAUUAAAAAUAAUAAAUUUUAAAAUAAAUAAAGGAAAAAUAUUAUCUUUUCAUAAUUUUAAUAUUUUUAAAAUUAUAAAAAAUGAAAUAUAUGUUUUACUUCAAAUUUUUAAUAAAUAAAAUGGAAAAAAUAAACUAAGAUAUAUUAUCCUAAAAUAUUAUUUUUUUAAAAUUUAAAAUUAUUUAUUAAUACAUUUAUUUAAAAAUAUAUUUACAUGUGAUUACAAUAAGCUUUUAAAAAUAAUUUAGUUUUAUAUUUUAAUUUUAUUUAAAAUAUAUUUUUUUGUAAAACUUAAUUUAGUAUGACUUUAAAAUCAUAAAUAUUAAAAUAUACAUUAAGAUGACAUAGAAGAAGAGCAAACCUUUACACAUGAAUGAAUGAAUGAAAAAUAUAAAAAAGUUAAAAUCUAAUUAAAAAAUUUUAAACAAACAUUAUAAAACAUUUCGUCUCUGUUGAUUUAAAAAUUAAAAAAAAUAUGAUCAGUUUACUUGUUUUGAUUUCGUCUUUGUUGUCGCUGUGGUUAUCCAGUUUACUUGUUGUUUGCUCUCCCAAUGGAGUUUGUUAUUGCCAUCGUUGGCUCUGUUGUCGCUAAAGCUGUAGAGUACGCUAUCUCUCCUAUCAAAAACCAUGUCAAAUACCUUUCCAAUCAUCACCAAAAUGUUGAGAUCCUCAAGAACCGAGCUAAGAGGCUGAAAGAUGCAAGGGACGGAGUGCAGCAUUCUGUUGAUGCAGCUAAACGAAACGGUGAAGAGAUCGAAGGUGAUGUUGACAAAUGGCUGUCUGCAGUCGACAAAAAGAUCCUUGAACAAGUAGAGGAAGUGAUGCAAGAUGAAGAAAAAGCAAAGAAAAAGUGUUUCAUUGGUUUGUGUCCUAAUUUCAGGACUCGUUACAAGCUUAGCCUGAAAGCUGAAGAGGUGGCAAAGGCUGUUGCCGAGCUAAUUGAACAUGGCAAGUUUGAAAGGGUUUCCUAUCGUGCAGCUCCGCAAGGUCCCGUGGUUGCACCAGUUAAAGGUUACGAGGAAUUUGAGUCAAGAACGUCGAUUUUGAAUGGAAUAAUGGAGGUUCUAAAAGAUGAUAGCGUCAGCAUUAUUGGGGUGCAUGGUAUGGGUGGGAUUGGGAAAACAACGCUGGUCAAAGAAAUCGCUAGAAAGGUCGAGGGCAAGUUGUUUGAUUCGGUUGUCAUAGCAACCGUAACUCAAGCCAUCGAUAUUGAGAAGAUUCAGAACCAAAUUGCAGACUUCUUGGGCUUGAAAUUUGAGGAACAGAGUAUGGUUGGAAAGGCAUUUCGACUACGAGAAAGAAUGAAGGAGAAGAGGAUUUUGGUUGUGUUGGAUGAUAUUUGGGAAAAGUUAGAUAUUGAGGAAGUUGGGAUUCCUUUGGGAGAUGAACACAAGGGAUGCAAGUUGCUGUUAACAUCUAGAGAGCUCAAUGUUUUAUCAGAUGAGAUGGAUGCUCAGAAAAAUUUUCCUAUCGGGGUUUUAAAUGAAAAGGAAGCCUGGGACCUGUUCAAGAAGAUGACUGGUGACUGUGUUGAAAGUUGCUAUUUGAAGCCUAUAGCUAUGGAGGUAGCCAAAAAAUGUGCAGGACUGCCGAUAGCCAUUGCGACGGUUGCAGGGGCUUUGAGAAACAAAAGAUUGUUUCAAUGGA